rnacentral:lncRNA from 1 species
CCUUAUCUCCGUACGUGUUCGAACCCAAUGCGAGUAAGGCGCUGAUCAUGUCUGUGGUUGCGACUCUGACUUCGUUGCUCUUUUUCGGGUACGUCAAAGGAAAACUCACCGGUGAUCGACCGUUCAUGAGCGCCAUUCAGACUACGUUGAUCGGAGCGAUUGCAUCUGCCGUUGCCUUCGGUCUAGCCAAGAGUGUUCAGUUCUUAUGAUCGCUGUCAUUUUCAACUCUUGAUUUAAUAUUUUAUUGUAAGCAUCUAGAACUUGUUAUUUUCGGAUACGUACGUAGUACGUCUUGUUCCUGUGUUCUACGAGAUGUGCCGUGUGCGUACUAAAAUCUACAUGACUUUUUUAUCAAUAAAAAACUUUAUUAGUUUAAGAGUGUGGUGUGUGUAUGAUUAUAAUAUAUAUAUAUAUAUAUAUAUUUAUAUAUAUAUUUUUUUUUUUUUUUUUUUUAUUUCAUUAGAAUAAGGCAAAAUAAAGAAUAAAAAUAGAAAUAAAAGAAAUGAACAAAAAACUCAUUGACUCUCUCUCAUUAGUUAUGUAACCUAGUUAUACAGCAACUAGAUACGCUGUCUCAGGAAGUUGGUUUCUCAUACUUCCAUCAUAGAUGUCUCCAAAGGGUGACAACAGCUUUUCUUGUAAUACACUGAAUCAAAGGAGAGACUGAUGUCUUUAAUGACCUUUUUAAAGACUACCUCAGGAGGUCUACUAGUGUGUUGUCUAUAUCUUUUAUUUUUCUACAUCCAUAUAUGAUUACAUUGGUAUUAGUGUAAUUAGUUAAUAACUGUAGUUGUAAAUUUAUCUGUAUAAGCAAUUUAACGGAUCUUUCCCUGAUGUGUUUUGUAUUCUCGAGAUAAUUUUGUAUUUUUAAAAGCAAUUUAACGGAUCCGUCGGCCUUGUAAGUUGUAACAAAGGCACCAGCAAUUAUUAUUUCUUUCACGAGUCACGAGAUGCAUCUAUCUCGAUGUGAAAGAUCGGAUUUUGACUUAUGGCACAAUCUAACAUGGUGAUUUUCAAUCCAAUAAACGACAUUUCACAUGCGGUAACCGAUAAACCACGAUACUCCACUGACGAUACUCGAUCAGCAACACCUUGGGGUGUCGAUAACGGCAAAGGAAGUCGGAUAAUUGUAAAGAACUAAAUCAACUUUUAAAAUUAAGAAGCAAAUAUUCGUUCAUGUCUUUAUGUUACGUCUUAAGCAUUCUUAUAGGGUGAUUAUCCCAUCGUGUUAACACACAAUGGGCAUAAUCUCCACUUAAAAACGUUCCACAAUAGUGGUGGAAUAAUCUAAAUGUUAUUUUCGACGAUUUUAAAAUAGCAAAGUAAUUAAACUCAUCAAAAAAAAACACGAGUUAAAUAUUAUCAGUGUUUGCUUGGUGAGUUGGUUAUAAGUGGACCGGGCCGAUCAACUGAUAAGACAAAUAUAAUUUCAGUCAUUUGUCCGCUUUCAUUAAUCCGCAAUCACUAGUCCCCACUAUGGUUUACACUAGUCCCCACUAUUUUCAAUAUUGAUAGAUUCUUCAUUUGUCUUUUGUGAAUCUUAUUUAGUCUUAUAUGAAAUAAAUAAAUAAAUAUUUCAGAUAACUAGAGUUUAAAUAAUAAUAAUAAAUAGUUUUUUUUGUUGAAUAAGUUGUUUUAUAUAUUAAAAAAUUAAAGUCUACAGAAGUUCAACACACAAAAAUAAUUGAUUUAAAUAUAAUCAUACUUACUUUCUAGUUACUCUGUAUCUAAGGAGACGGAUUUUCCCGACAGUUAAUCAAUCUUAACUUCUUUCUUCCACCUUGUUGUGGAUCAAAAACUGAAAAACAUCACAUUGGUGCAAUUCCCUCUCUUUCCGUGUUCCUCUUGUGUGGCUUUUUGAAUUUAUUUAUUUUGAAAUCGAUUUUCGUCGAUCUGAUGCAUUCUCUUAUGAUCAUUUUCUGCGAGGUUGAGAUUCCUUUAUGGUAAUGUUCAUUUCGCUCCUUCCAUAUGUAAAACAGUAUGAAACCAAACAUUCUUCAAUGCAAUCCCCAACACUUUGAUUUAGGAAUGAUUUUCUCAAUUUCAUGAGUCAUGGUUUCAAAAUCCUCAAUGUCUUGUGUAUUCACCAAAAUCUCCAAUGUCUUGUUUAUUUUCUAGUCUUAUUUGAAAUAAACAGAUUUUGAUAUGUAUAUAUACAACAUUUUUUUCCAAUGAGCUCAACAUAUAUGAGCUAAUAAGUUGAGCUCAAAAAAGUUCACUUUACAUGAGCUGUUGAAUAUUAUAUUGUUUUAAUUAUAUGAGCACUAUUGAACUUAUAUUAGGUAAGUUCACUGAAAUUUUUAUGCUUUCCAAAAACCGCUGUUGAAAUCGAAAUUGAUGUAUAUACAAAGCUAGUUCUGUUAUUGAUGUUGAAAUUGUCUCCUAUUAAAUUGUAUGUAUUAGAAUUUAUAGAGUAAUUUUCAUAUUACAGCUGUCGGUUGUUACACUCGAAAUCCAAUCCACGUCAUCUCAUAGACCAUGUGACGGCAUAUUAUUGCCACAACCAACUUCCCACUUCCGUUUCUACUUUUUAUUCCUUAUCUUCUCAUCCCCGACGCGAUCCAGGAGAGGGAAUCGAUUGAUCAUGUCGUCGUCGACGUUGAGAAGUACGUGGUGUGGAUCUAGACUGCGUGGAGUUCGGGGGGAGAACGGGAGUACGUGUAGAAGGCAGGGAAUUGGGUUCAGGAGCCGGAGAGUGGGGUUUCGUUCGGUAGUUGCAUCGGGAGAUGAAUCGGGGAGGAUCGAGCCUGAUUUGAGCGUCAAAGUCAAUGGUUUGGACAUGCCGAAUCCUUUCGUUAUUGGAUCGGGACCUCCAGGGACGAAUUACACCGUCAUGAAACGGGCGUUCGAUGAGGGUUGGGGUGCUGUCAUUGCCAAAACCGUUAAGUUUUUUCACAUAUUCGAUCUUAUUUUGAUUUUUACCGUUGUUUAUCGAUUGGGUUAAUAUAAUCUCAAUUUUCCAUCAUUGCUACAUUUUCAUUCAUUUCGGAUUCCCCUUUUUAUGUUUCGAUUUCAUUUAAAUUUUCUUUCUUCAUCCAUUUUGCAACAGGUGUCUCUUGAUUCUUCCAAGGUUGUUAAUGUAACACCCAGGUAUGCUAGACUUCGAGCCAAUGCAAAUGGAUCGAAAAAAGGGCAGAUUAUCGGAUGGGAGAAUAUCGAACUCAUAAGUGAUCGCCCCUUAGAAACAAUGUUAAAAGAGUUCGAACAACUGAAGCAAGAAUACCCAGAUAGGAUUUUAAUUGCAUCAAUCAUGGAGGAAUACAAUAAAACUGCCUGGCAUGAACUCAUUGAGCGUGUAGAAGAAACCGGUGUUGUGAGCCUUUUUGCCACACUGCUACCACUUGAUCAUGUUUUCUUUACAUCUUCCCUUUUCAAUCAAAAUUGCCUUUUUUUGUAAUGUUGGUUUAGGAUGCCAUUGAAAUCAAUUUCUCCUGUCCUCAUGGCAUGCCAGAACGUAAGAUGGGUGCUGCAGUUGGUCAAGAUUGUGCAUUGCUGGAGGAAAUAUGUGGAUGGAUAAAUGAAAAGGCAACUGUCCCAGUAUGGGCAAAGAUGACUCCAAAUGUAACCGAUAUUACAGAGGUUAGUUGGCUCUCUGCCUGUAGACUUGUAGUUAUGCCUAAACUUUUUUUUAUGUUUCUUACAUGUUACCUGUUUUAGACAGGCUGGUUGUAACAUACUAACAUGCACGUCCCAUUACAAGUGUCUAAUAUAAAAUAAUCAAUUUUCAACUUAUAUAAAAAUGAAGUCAACUUGGAAUAAUGAUCAUUCUGAAAUUUAUUAUAGUUGAGUCAUUUCUACAAACUCUUAUUAUGUUAUUGCUCAUUGUCUACACAGCAUUGAAAUUUAUGUAUAUUUACCUCUAUUUAAUAUAAAGAAAAUAAUUUACUUUUGAGUCUUGUCCAAUUUGCACUGGAAUAAUGGUUAAUUCAUUUUGAAUUUAUUGACAUUUAAGUUUUUCUAUUGUUGUGAAUUGUGAUUUUAUACCAGAAUAUUUAUUUACUGAACUUGUUUUUUUGGAUUUCCCCCCCAACAGUUGGCAUAACUCUAUAAUCAUGAUAUCAUGCUUUCCAAAUAGCUGACAUAAUCCUGUUUUUAUCAUAUCAUUUUGAUUAGCCGUCUAGAGUAGCGCUUACAUCUGGAUGCGAGGGAGUGGCUGCCAUCAACACCAUAAUGAGCGUCAUGGGAAUUGAUCUUGAUACAUUACGACCAGAGCCUUGUGUUGAAGGGUUAGUUUAUUAGAUUAAAUAUAAUAAAUCUUCUAGAAUUUCUAUAGAAGGGAAUCAAGUUUGUUAUUUGUUACUAUAGGGUCUAACAACUCAUUCACAUUGUGGUUGUAUAUCGUACCAAGUGUAUGUAAAAUUGUAAAUACAUAACAAUAUGGGCAUAUAAUCCAUCGAUUAUAGCCUAUUAAAUCUCCCUUGUGUCAUUUUGUUUUCUACACAUUAUCAUGUCUGAUUUCUGCAUCACCAUCCUCAUCUGUACCCAAGAUGGUAUAAGAGCAAGCCAAAGGUCCCAUCGAUCCUUGGCCACCCUGCAUUUUUUCAAAUCAAUGCCCUCUUUUGGCUCAAUUCAGUUAUUUCUACAAGUGAACCUAACCAUAACGAAUUACAUCGUGUGGAAAAUGCAGUUCACUCCGCUCCGAAACUGUUUUAAUCUGCAGUCGUUUAUCACGGAUGGCGUUCCUCCGGUUACAAUUAAUAUUUGACGAGGGAGGAAUUCAUGCUUUGAUGGAGAAAGGAUCAACUCCUCUUGAGCUGGAUCAUUUUAUCACUGUCCGAAGAAAUUUUGCCCUCCGUCGUAGGGAUAGAGUCUUCAAGUAGAAUCUGAAAAUCACUUGAGACAGCCUAUGGACGACCCUCUGAAUCAAGGAUCAUCCAACUGCAAAUGCAGGUUCCAAAACUUGCGCAAGGAAGAUAAUGUUGACAUUGCAAACUAUCUCCGACGAGCCAAGCUUCUCUUCGAUGAGCUCGCAGCGGCCAAAUCUCCAUCCCCUCACGCAUCUUCAUGUAACAUAAAUACAUAAUUCAUGUCCCAACACUAAGCGCUUUAUGGGUUUUGUAAGGAUAAUAAUUAUUACUAUUUUUGCCUUAUCGUGUUUUUGUCAAAGAUCAGGUCACACAUUGGGUUCUACUUCGAGGAACACAUAAUGAUAGUCUCUACAAAAUCGUGCCUACAACCAAUUCCAAUUCGCUUGUCUACUCAGGUGUUUUUCGAUCUAUGGCACCAACGAGGCAACGACUGAGUCAUUCUAAUGAAUCAGUCGUUCGUUCGUCAGAUCAUAUAUAAAAAUAAUUUGCCGCUUUUAUCUUCUAAAUUUAAUGGUUAUAUAGUUCAUGCAUUUUGGAAAAAUUAAGUAGAAGUCGUCUACCAACCUUUUCAAAAAGUAAGGUUCCUCUAGAGUUACUAAAUAGUGAUGUUUGGGAAGCUAUUCCAAUUUCUACCACUGAAGGUUAUCGAUAUUUCAUAUUUUUUAUUGAUAACUUCUCACCAUCCUCAUCUGAGUUGGUCUCCAGAAAGAAUUAGUUAACUUAGUUUGCUAGUUUCACAAUACACUUUUAUCAAGUUAAGAUUGUUUUGAUCACUGAUCUGUAUGGUAUUUUAUAGGUAUUCCACCCCAGGAGGCUAUUCUUGUAAGGCAGUCCAUCCAAUCGCACUUGCAAAAGUGAUGCGGAUUGCACAAAUGAUGAGGUUAGAGUUCAGUGGCAAUAACCUUUCUCUCUCUGGUAUUGGAGGGGUCGAAUCAGGUGGUGACGCUGCUGAAUUCAUUCUUUUGGGGGCAAAUACUGUUCAGGUAAGCAUCUCUUUGUGAUCAUUGAUGUAUAUUUUAAUUGCAACUCAGUUUUUUUAACAAUAUUUGUUCACGUGGAUAAAAUAUUAGUAAUUUAACUGAAAUUUGUUCAGGUAAUAUUGCAUGUGUUAUUUUAGUUUUUAUAUCUCUCCAACAUUUUAUAAAUCAUCUAAUAAUAUUCUGCAAUUUAAUUAAUUUAGCAGGCAUAUUUUCCCAAUUUGUAUUUCAGCAUUUCUUUUUUAUCCAUCAAAUGACCAAAUUCUUACAGUUGCUUGAAGAUUAGUAGAAAGGGUUUAUCCAGACAGUAGAGUAUUUUUUUUUAUUUAACUUGAAAUUUCUUUUAGUAAUUUCCUUUCCUGGAGCAUUUGAAUACAGGUGUGCACUGGUGUGAUGAUGAAUGGCUAUGGUGUCAUCCAGAAACUCUGUGACGAGUUGAAGGAUUUCAUGAGAAAACAUAAUUUCUCCUCAAUUGAAGAUUUCAGAGGGUCAGUGUUUGUCAGUAAUUUUCAAACGCCACACACAUAUUUUUUACCGAUCAAUGCCAUAAUUAUCACAAAAUAAUAGAAAGCUUCAUCAUACCUAUCAUUAAAUAAAUGUCUCUCACUGUGCCCAAUAUUUGGCCAGUGUGGCAGUGUUAUUUGAAUUUGUAAAUGCAAACUUAUACCCAGUACAUUACUAGAUUACAAAGUGAAAGCUGUGCAUAGUAUAAUUGUAGCUACUAAUGGAAGUUUAAUUCUGUCAUUCCAGGGCCUCUCUUCCAUACUUCACGACUCACACUGACUUAGUGAAGCGGCAGAAAGAAGCAAUAGCACAGAGAAAGGCAAUGAGGAAAGGUCUGCAAUCAGAUAAAGAUUGGACAGGUGAUGGGUUCGUGAAAGAAUCUGAAAGCAUGGCUUCUAAUUGAAGAUUACCUAUUUUAUUUUAUACAUGCAAUCCUGCGUACGAUAAUAAUCUCCUUGGUUAUGUGAAUAUGAAGAUUCAUCGUCCAUUUUCUUUCUGUGAUUAAGGGUUGUUCUAAGUUCUAAAUAUAUAACUGCUGAAUAAGGGAAUAUUCUCCAACUUUUUUUUUACUUUCUUCCAGACAUUAUUUUGGUGGGUACCAAAAAAAUCCAUUACUUUCAAGUUCCAACUAUUUUUUUCUUUUAACCAAAAAAUUAUAAUCAUUCAAAAAAUAGAUAAUUUCAAAAAAUAGUUUCUAUUGAAGCUGGAAACUUGUGAAGUUGUGAUGUGUUCUGGAAAAAGACGUUAAGAUUUAGAUUGAUCUAAUCGGGUCGAAUCAGCUAAAAAAAAUUGAAACCCGAUUUUUAUAAAUUUAACAUCCACUUUUACUCUAAUCCCACUUCUCACCACAAGCGACAGGAAAAAGAGAGGCCAGGACUACUCGUUCCGUCGGAAAUGGGAUUCAUCGUUCGAGCUCUUCAUCGUUCCAAGCCUCUUAUCCGAGCACACCUAUCCCCAAAACCUAAUCCAAAUCUCAGCCUAUUCCGAUGGAUCACCACCACGCCCGACCUCCAUAAACCCGAAGCUUCUGCAGAGGCGGAAAUGCCACAACCCGAAAUCCUACCUAGGAAGCCGAUUGGAGGAGCUAGGUUUGAGGUAUCCAAACCAGAGGAUACCAUGGAGGUGUUUGUUGAUGGGUUUCCAGUUACAAUCCCCAAGGGAUUUUCCGUUAUGCAGGCGUGCGAACUUGCUGGAGUGGAUAUUCCCAGGUUUUGUUAUCAUAGUCGAUUAUCUGUUGCGGGAAAUUGUCGGAUGUGUCUUGUUGAGGUCGAGAAGUCUCCCAAGCCUGUGGCUUCAUGCGCAAUGCCAGCUCUUCCAGGUUUGGAUCUCAUUUCUGAGUGAUUGGUUAUGUCAUGUGUGGCAGUAUGGUUUUAAGAGAAGUCAAUUUUACUGUUAAAUUGUAUUUUAUUUUUGUUCUAAAAUUGGGAAGCAUGGUCUUUUCUUGGUUGGAGUAAAAGAAGAAAUCGAUUUUGUUGGUAGGCAUGAAGAUUAAAACAGAUACGCCUAUUGCAAAGAAGGCAAGGGAGGGGGUUAUGGAGUUCCUGUUGAUGAACCAUCCAUUAGAUUGUCCAAUCUGUGAUCAGGGAGGUGAGUGUGACUUGCAGGAUCAGUCUAUGGCUUUUGGAUCAGACCGUGGUAGAUUCACUGAGAUGAAGAGAUCUGUCGUUGACAAGAACCUAGGCCCAUUGGUCAAGACAGUUAUGACAAGGUGUAUCCAAUGCACAAGGUAUGUGUAUAUUUUUUUCAAAUCCAUAGGGUGGUGAAUGUAAUGGUGAGUAAUUUGUCAAAAUUUAUAAAACAAAUCUGGAAAAUCAUACCAGCCUUAUGUAGUAUUAUUAGUUGGUAAACCCCCCAAAGGUUGGAAAAUCUUCUUGGAUGAUCAUCCUGAGGCACAGCCAUGACAAUCUCACACUAAUGUAGAAAAAAAUCCUUUUGUCAAAUUCUUUCUUUGGGUGCAUGAUCAUUUGAGAAAUCUAUAUUUGACAGAUUUAUAAGAAGUUCCCACAGAUUAGCCUUGAUGUUUUUACCCUCUGUUCGUUUUUUGACUCACAUGCUCCUACUUGUAGUUUCUCUAUCAAUCAAGAUAGAAAAUUUAAUCAAGUUUCCUUAUUUUUAACUUUGGAGGGAGUUGAUGUUGAUAUUUUGUUGUUUUUUCAUGAUGUAAAAAAAGAAAAGAUACAUAUCAUACACUCACAAGCAGAAUUGAUCAUAACAAUAUUUCCAUUACUCCUUUUUCUAACUAUUUUUUCUUUUUAAAACAAAAAUAAUGUAUUGAGAUCUUAUUAUUUUCUUUUAGAAAGAAAGUUAUCUUAAAUUGUUGAUACAUUUUCUCUUAUCCAGAUACCUAAUAACCUAUUAUUUAAAAUUAAUCAUAAUCAUUAUCAAUCACUACGAUUUUACUUUUAAGUUUUAACUUUUUUUUAGAGUUCCCUAGAGACAUUAGUUUGUUUUCUGAUAUUUGGAUAAUUUUUUCCCAUUACUUUAGUAGUUUUAUAACUUUGUUAGUCAUUACUUCUGAGUUCUGACCUCUGUAUAUGGUUAAUAAUUUUUGCUAUAAAUGAUUAAUUUAAUAAUUUUUCCCAUUUCAGAUGUGUUAGGUUUGCCACUGAAGUUGCUGGGGUUGAGGAUCUUGGCAUCUUAGGUCGAGGCAGUGGAGAGGAAAUAGGAACAUAUGUUGAAAAGCUCAUGACAAGUGAACUUUCUGGAAAUGUUAUAGAUAUCUGCCCUGUGGGUGCUCUCACCUCAAAACCAUCUGCAUUCAAAUUUAGAAAUUGGGAACUAAAGGGUACGGAGACCAUUGAUGUCACAGAUGCAGUAGGUUCAAACAUCGUAAUUGACAGUAGAGGUCCAGAGGUCAUGCGCAUUACACCACGGUUGAAUGAGGUCAAAACUUUUAAAUAUAACCUCCUUUGUCUUCAUUCUUUAAAGUUUUCUUUUGCAUGUUGUAUUGUCUAAUGUUAAUUAUGUUAGUGCAAAAAAAACUCCUGCGUAUAUUAACUUAAGCUAGGUAGAUAACAGAUAAUGGUAUUAUUAUGUUACUGAUUAUAAUUAACUCGUAUUCUAGGUUAUAUACAGAUUAUAGUUACAUAUCAUACUAUAUUACUGUGUACCACUGCACUCGGGUUAUAUACUUACAUUUCCAAAAUUUGAAUAGGAAAAAUCACGUCUUCAUGAAAUCUGGUAUCCUGUAAUUUUAUACCUAUUUUUUGUAAAUUACAAUGGGAUAAUCUUUUAUUUCUCAAUGAUGAACAGAUAAAAUGACUUUAGCUAAGCACACAUAUUUGGUUCAUAAUUUUUUUCUAUUGAUAAUUUCUUUUCUUUGAAUUUUUGUUUAGGACCAUUUAGACCAAAUCUUUAAUGUAUUUUGAUGAAAUCACAUGUGUAUCGAUGUUUUACUUGCAGGAUAUUAAUGAGGAAUGGAUAUCUGACAAAACACGUUUCUGUUAUGAUGGACUGAAAAGGCAAAGAUUGAAUGAUCCCAUGAUUCGUGGUUCUGAUGGACGAUUCAAAGCUGUCAGCUGGCGUGAUGCCCUUGCUGUUGUGGCUGAGGUUGCUCAUCAAGUCAAGUCCAAAGAAAUUGCUGGGGUUGCUGGGCGACUAUGUGAUGCUGAAUCCAUGAUGGCUCUUAAAGAUUUUAUAAAUAGAUUGGGAUCAAAUAAUGUGUUGUGUGAAGGAAAUGGUUUGAACCCACAGGCUGAUCUGCGCUCGGGCUAUCUUUUUAAUACAAGUAUAGCUGGUUUGGAGAAGGCAGACGCUUUUCUUUUGAUCGGGUCUCAGGUUAUAUGUUAUAUUUUCUUACACCAUAUUUUCUAAUGAAGGUGAAAAGUAAUGGCCAGUAAUAAUUCUUGUUCUCUGGGAGUUAUUUGCUCAUUUUUGUGGGUCUAGUGCAACUUAGAAAAAAAUCUGAAUAAGGUAAGGAUGCUAAUGACAUUUAUAUCCUGUUCCAUUGCAGCCAAGAAUAGAAGCUCCAAUGGUGAAUGCUAGAAUUCAGAAAAUCGUGCGUGCUUCUCAAGCAAAGGUUGCAUAUAUUGGUCCUCCAACUGAUUUCAACUACGAGAGUGAACAUCUUGGAACAGGUCCAAAAACUCUCAUUGAGAUCGCUGAGGGGCGUCACCCAUUCUUCUCAACACUUUCAUCUGCUAAAAAUCCUGUCAUUAUUGUUGGUGCUGGGAUUUUUGAGCGUAAAGACUAUGAUGCAAUUUUUUCUGCAGUUGAGAGCAUAGCUAAAUCUGCAAAUGUGAUUAGACCUGACUGGAAUGGAUUUAAUGUUCUGCUACUUCAUGCUGCACAAGCAGCCGCUCUUGAUCUUGGACUUGUACCAGAUCCCGAAUUUAGUCUGAGCUCCACCAAAUUUUUGUAUCUGAUGGGUGCUGAUGAUUUUAAUAUAGAAAGUGUUCCCAACGAUGCAUUUGUUGUUUAUCAAGGUCAUCAUGGUGACAAAGGAGUCUAUCGUGCUAAUGUGAUUUUACCAUCUGCUGCUUUCACUGAGAAAGAAGGAACAUAUGUGAAUACUGAAGGGUGUGCUCAGUGGACUGUUCCAGCAGUACCCACCGUUGGUGAUGCCAGGGAUGAUUGGAAGAUUAUUCGAGCACUGUCUGAGGUUGCAGGUGUACAAUUACCUUACAACACUCUCGAAGCUGUGCAUGGUCGUAUUAGAACAGUUGCACCAAAUCUGUUACAUGUGGAAGAGAGAGAGACAACAACACCAUUUGUUGGACUGAAACCUGAGAUUCAAGACAAACCCAAUUCUUCACCAUUUGGUGUUGCAAUUGAGAAUUUCUAUAUGACAGAUGCAAUCACUAGGGCUUCAAAAACAAUGGCUCAGUGCAGCGCAACUCUUCAUAAGAAGUAAAUGAACUUGGUGACGAGCGAAUCUUAUCAUUAUUUAUUAAACCAUGCUGAUUUUGCAAGUUUCCCCGAAUGAUUGAAUCGUAUCUUUUAAAGCUCUACCUGCUGCCAUGUUUAAUUUUCUGUGUUCAUAAAUGGCAGCUAGCUUCCUUCAUCAGGUGAGGGAUACAUUUGGUUGGCUUUGAUUAAUUACAUGUGAAUAGGCAGAUGUAACUGUAUUCAUUGUAUUUUAACGUUAAGAUCUUUUCUUAGAUUACAUGGUGCUAGUUUUCUCGUGAAUAAAAAAGCAACCAUGACUUCAACAUUUCCAUUUUAAAUUAUUUUUGGCUGACUUAUAUUAUGGUUUUGUUUGUUUUAUUUUGCAUUUUUGGUUUAGGUGUUUAAAUUUGAAUAUGGGUAUUUUUUUAUAAUUUGAUCUUAUAUAUGCAGUACGCUGUCUUAAUUAAACAAGCACACAUCAUAUAUUUGCUAUCCUCCAAACUUAGAAAAUCAAUAAAUCACAGUUAAAAUUAAAAGCAUUGAUAAAUGAUAUUAUGGGAAGGACUCAAGGAUCGCACGCACUAUAGGGUGGGUGUGUUUGGAAUGGUAUUUGUUUAUUAAAACGUAAUGUUCCAUCUUAUUCUUAUCCAAACCAUAGCCAAGAAAGAAAUUCAAUGUUGGGUGGUGUUUUGGAAGCAAACGCUGCUUCCUCGCCCCAUCUUCCAAUCUCCUAUGCAACAAAACAAAAACAUCAACCUUUAAAUCCUACAGUCCUCUUUGCCGCUUCCCGACGCAAAUCUUUAACAUCGGAGUUGUGUUAUCGGCAGCGAGAAAAUAGAUGCAGUACUGUUCUAUGUCAUGCCUCGAGAAGAACACCAAGAUAUAAUUCGAGUGACGACGACGAUUAUGAAGAGUAUGGACAUAAUUCCGAGAUCUCCAUGUUAGAAUUCUACAGCGAAUGCAAUAGAGACGUUGCACUUUUGGUCGGAGCGACAGUAGACGGUGAAGAAGAACAAGUAAUCAUCUUCAAGGUACUAAACAGUAAUAAAUAAUUAGUAUUUAAAAAAAAACAUUUACAUGUGUUAUUUUUUGUGAAGGGAUUUUCAUCUCUGUUGAGUUCUGGAACAUUCUGGGAUCCAUCAAAAAGUAUUCUUCCAUCAAGGGCCACGAUAAGGUGUGUUGAUAUCGUCAAGGGACCGUUCAAUCCAUCCAUGAUUGAAUACAUAGAAACCAACUUGACAUUGGAUGAUUUUAAGAACCGCCUCAACCCUCCCAACUCCAAUCAAAACACUUCAAACACGUAAGUUCACUUUAAAACAAGAUAUUUUUUAAGUUUACUUUACAAUUCAUUCUUAGAGAGUAAGGAAUCUUUUUUAUAUAGAAUCUAGUAUCUUAUAAUUAUGACGAGAUUCCUAUGAGAUAAUCCAUUUCUUGAGAUAUUUCAUAUUAACCAUUCAUUUAACUGAUGUAACAUUAAACACAUGGAUCUUGAGAUUUAUACAUUUUAAUCAUUUGAAUUAUAUCACUUAUAAUUGAUGUAUUUCAAUUAGUGAUAAGAACAAGAUAGGUCCUUUAGAGAUAAGAAUUAUAAGAUCCACCUCGAAAAAGAAAAAGAAAAAAACAUUUAAAUAUUUCAUUCUUUUUUAUUCAUUCUCAAUUCUCAUUAUGAAAGACAGAAAGAGAGUAAUAAAAAACACGCAAAACUCUUAACUCUUAAGGCAGUUUAAAGUGAGCAAUUGAGUUAUGUCGUAAAAGCAAGCAUACAGGGUUUUGGUUCUUUCUCGAAUGCGUAUUUAAAAAAACAGACGAAUCCAGCAAAUUUCAACAAACAAUCUUCUUCUACUUUUUUCUGACCCUUUCCUUACGUCAUUUCACCGCAUUCCUUCCUUCCUUCCUUCCACUGAUAGCCGACCACAGUCCAGAUUCGGAACAUGUCGAUUUUCUGUUCAAUUGAGUGCGUCGUUUGCUUCGGGUUCUCCCGUUGGGCAUGGAAGAGGUGCACGUACAUCGGCAACUACGACAGUGAAACGUGGUCCACUGCCGAUUCCGACGAUUUCUCUGAGGUCCCACACAUCUGCCGUCUUAUCCUCGCCGUCUACGAGGAGGACCUCUGCAACCCACGAUCCCCUCCCAUCCCGCAUGGCUACCGCCUAAACCCUGAUUACGUAGUCAGACGCGUCACGUACAAAGAUACCAACGGGAAUUGCCCUCCUUACAUCAUCUACGCGGAUCCUGAGGUCAAGGAAGUCGUCGUCGCGCUUCGCGGACUCAAUCUCGCUAAAGAAUCCGACUACAAGCUGUUGCUCAACAACAAAUUGGGCAUGCAGAAGUUCGAUGGCGGGUACGCACAUUACGGCCUUCUAAAGUCAGCGGUAUGGUUGUUGGAGAAGGAGAGCGACACGAUCCAAGGUUUGGUGAGGGAGAUGGGGGCGGAAUGUAAGGUGAUUUUCGCCGGCCAUUCUUUGGGAUCUGGUGUGGCAGCGUUAGUCACUGUUCUUGCUGUAAAUCACAGGGACAAAGUUGGGGGAAUACCCAGAACUCAUAUUAGAGGCUACGCCAUCGCACCCGCCAGAUGUAUGUCACUCAAACUUGCCGUCAAGUACGCCGAUGUUAUCCAUUCCGUUGUUCUUCAGGUACCCACCUCCCUGACUGAUUUGUAAAAGAGAAUGGCAACACUGAUGAUUAGCGUUGUGCAGGAUGAUUUCUUGCCAAGAACAGCAACACCUUUGGAAGAUAUUUUCAAAUCUAUAUUCUGGUGAGACAAUCAAACACAAUCAAUACUUGGUUACUUACUUAUAACUCUUGAUUCAUGUGGCGACAGUUUGCCGUGCUUGUUGUUUUUUGUUUGCAUGAGAGACACGUUCGUACCAGAAGGCAAAAAGCUUGGAGAUCCAAGGCGGCUCUAUGCUCCCGGACGCAUUUAUCAUAUCGUGGAGAGGAAAUUUUGCAGGUAAAUUCCGAUCUUCUCCGUAUGGAUUGAGAUUCAUAUGGAUUAAGAAUUAAGAUUCAUAUGGAUUGAAAUAGAUGCGGAAGAUACCCCCCUAUUGUUAGAACUGCCAUUCCGGUCGAAGGGAGAUUCGAGCACAUCGUUCUAUCGUCCAAUGCGACCAAAGACCAUGCGAUCAUCUGGAUCGAAAGAGAAUCUGAGAAGGCGUUGGUGGUAAAUCUUAAUUUCAAAAUCAUUAUUCAUAUCCUACAUAAUUCAUUCUAAAAUUUGAGGUUUUAUUUUGACUUUCCAGAGAAUGAAGAAGAAAUCGGAAACCUUAACUCCUCCUUCUGCUCAGAAAAUGGUGAGAAUGCAAACUCUGAAGCAAGAACACAAAGAAGCGAUCGAAAGAGCAAUGAGUCUGAAUGUACCUCACACGGAGGGAUUACAAGACGAGUGCAACGUCGAUGAUCAGGAGGAAGAAGAAGAGGUUGAAGAAGGCGGGAUGGAGAUGAAACCCAAUGCCAAGUUAAGGUGGGACGUACUGGUUAGCAGCCUAUUUGAACAGGGUGAGACCGGACAAGUUCUUUUGAAGAACCAAUCCAACUUAGUCGAUUAAUGGGCUGGUUUCCAAAUGGACUGGGCUUCAGUCAAACCCAUCUAAAAGUUAAAUAUAUUCAAUCCAUUUAUAAAAUUUAGACGUUUAUUAAUUUGAAAUGUCUUCGGGUACUCGGGUUUGGAAUUUUGGAUCGGGCGGGUAUCAGAUAUAUCUUGAGGGCAUGUUAUGUUGCCAUGGUAGAUAGGAAAUCAUUAAGAAAGAUAUUUUCAAACGGCAGAGUGAUGUUUUCAAACAGCAGAGUGAUGUUUUCAAACAAGAUAUUAUUGAAGUUUGUCGAUAAUCCAUUAAUUCGUGUCUUUGAAAUUUUAUUCAAACAAGUACAAAAAUUUAUUGAAAUGAAUAGGUAUAUAUGUACGUACUGGCCAGGAAAGUUUCAAAGUCCAAGAGUGAACGGCACUCCGGUUGCCGGCAACCAAUUACCACCUGACAAGAAAUUACCCACUGUGAAUUUCAGAGCUUCGGUUGCACUUGUGAUCACAUGGUAUCCCUUCCAAUUCACUCUCUCACUGGUAUCCGCUCCAGCACCGGUAUUCUUGUACUCUCCAUAAUACAAAGUAUUCAAGGCAAAAUUCCCAUCCCAUUCCAACCAUCCUGCCGGUGCAAUUAAGCUCCCCAAAUUGCAUUUCAUGAACACAGUCCUGGAGUAUUUUUUCCAUGGACGACCCAGAAAUGACUUGAUCGAACCCUCCACUGCUUUCAGAUCUGAAGUAGCCUUAAUAACUGAAUUGUGGAUGGAGAUGCCGGUGUUCUCGUUUGGGUCCGACCGUCCUUGGGCCGUCACAGUGUUCUUCUGGUUGCUCAUCGGUUUUCUCACGAAUAUGUUGCAGUUUUGAAUGACGACAACCGAGUCACCAAAGAUGAAGUCGACGGUUCCGUAGAUAUCGCAAUUGCGGUAAAAUUGUCGAUUUGAGUGGGUGUAGAGGGUGUCCUGGUAUCCCUCAAAGCCGCAACGAUAAAACACGGAGAAAUCCGCACCUGAUCGUAGAGCGACGGCCUGAUGUUUCGCCGGUCCGGCAGUGUUCCGAAUUGUGAUGUCUUUAAGGAUGAACUUCUCACCAACAGUGCCUGUAAAUCAAGAAGAGGACAAUUCCGGGUGGUGAGAUCGACGUACUACCUGUACAUAUUUCGAAAUGCAUGUGAUGAGUAUUAAUUAAUCAAACUUACUUAAAGUUGCCGAUCCGAACGUGGUGGAACCGUCAACAACAUUUUUCUUCCCGGUGACGAUAGUCUUACCGAUCCCAUCUCCGACGAUCAUCAAAUUUUUCAUGCUCUUGGUGACCUCCACGUUCUCAGAAUAAACUCCAGCUUUCACAUGGAUCACGAAUCUCUUGCUUCCGGAUUUGCUCGCUUUCACCGCAUCAUUUAUAGUCUUGUAGUCACCGGACCCAUCCUUGGCCACAACCAGGUCGGCGUUGAUUUUAUCAUUCGACGACCCAAGUAGCCAUCGAUCAUUUGGCGACACCCAAUAAGGAAACCCGUCGGCAAGAAGUCUCCGGUUACCACCGUUGAUCACCGAGGACGACGAACCGAUAUUCGCCUUGUUUAUGGCGAGGGAGUUGCUAAGGAUUUUUGUCAUGUUCAGAGAUAAAACCCACGGCACAGAGAGGUUGAAGUCAGUGAAUCCAUUCCGGCAAGUGAUCUGAUCAGCAAGAGCAGCACUGAGCCACGUCUGACUAUCAUAUUCGGAAACAUUUUUCAUGCACCGUCCGACCUUGGAGAUAGUUUCGUUGAUAAGCGCGAAGCAAUCCAUCCAUGCCUCUCUCUCACGCUUGGUUAUAGCAGUGAGAUUGACGGAAUUCUCACACUGGUGGUGAGAAUCUUUGAAGUAUUUGACGGCGUUCUUGAAAUUGGAUUCCCGGAAUCCAUAGUCUGAAUCCUUACACAGCUCAGGGUAUGGAAGUUGACUGCAUUUGGUGAAAUGAGUCGCUUCAUGUACAACGAACUGCAAAGUAGCACAUAAAAUGACCAGAAGCACUAAACAAGCCAUUGAUGGAAAGAUGGAUGGAUAUUUUUUCCUACUUCUCAAGGUUGAUUCUUUUUAUAGACCGGAGAGAUGGAUCGGAAUUUAACGUUUCGGGUCCGGCAGUCGGGAUCAAUCCAAGGACCAAAGUUUGAUUUUUCUUUCGAAAUUAAAAAAAAAAAAAAAAACAAUCCAAAACUUAAAUCUGAAGUCGGUUCCGUGAAUGGGCCAGACCAGUCCAUCAGACCAUCACAAUCAAGAACAUGAUCACGAUUCAUGAUUGAACCAACUUAACAGUAGCGGCCAGCCGGAUUUGAAAAUUCAUGAAAUCAAUUAAAAUCGUAUUUUGUUUGUUGAAAAAUUAUUGAAGUUGGAGUUUAUUAUUAUUGAUUCGACAACCAGCAAAAUAAAUAUUAUCUACAAAUCAAUAGAAAGAAAAAGUCAAAAUCAAAAGUCAAUAGUAUUGAAAAAUGACACUCGUGUUUGAUUUGCUUUCAGUUAAAAAAAUGACCCUUUGCAGUUCAGAGUUCAGGUGGAAUUAACUGUAUUUUACCAAUCGUAAAUUCAUAGAAUCUAAGAAUUCAACAUCGUAAGAUAAAUAAAACAAUGGAUGAAAUAAGGUUCAAACUUGAACGAUUUAAUGAAUCAUUGGCAUUGGUAACAAUUUAUGAUAAUUAAAUCUCAUUUAUUAUUAAAGACACAUUAUUUGAAUUGAAACACAGUUAUCGAUUAAUGCCGGAUAGAGAUAUGACACCUGUUUCAAUGUUUCAUUUUAUAUCUAGCUUCUAAUAUAUCUGUGCAGACAACAAUUAUUUAUUUGGCAGUUGGGAACAUCCGAACAUGGUGUGAUCCAAUCUAUAUUUAGUUACUAUUAAAUUGGAUCCUAACUACACGCAAUAAUUAAGUAGGUAUUUUUGAAACGUAUCUCUAUUGGACGUAAAGGUAAAGAGAUGUGGAUUGAAAUCUUCGUCUCUAAUAAUUCUCGUAUUCGAAAAAAAAAAUUAUAUAAACCUUACAUAAUAUAAUUUUUAUAUAAUACAAUUUAUAUAAAUAACCCUAUAUAAUAUAUAAAAUAAAUAAAUUUAUAUUUAAAAUAUAUUAUAUAUGUAUACAAAAAUUAUAUUUAACCUCUAAAAAAAUGAUAAAACAUAAUAUAAACAUCAUUACUAAAUUAUUAUCUAUUUACAUUUGAAUUAUUUAAUUUUUAACUAUUUACACUAUUUACAUUUAAGUCAGUAUUUUAAUUACAUUAGUAAGUAGUAACAUUAUAGAUUUAUAGUACUUAAAACAGAUUAAAAAUAAAAAUAAUAUUUGGUCGUGGCUAAUAAAAAUAAUAUUAGCCUGGUAUGGGGACGAUUUUUGGGACCCGUACCCGUUCAACCCUAAUUGGAUGUCUUCUUUUUGACUAAUAAUAUAAAUGAUGGUUUUUAACCCUCAUAUCUUAUUUAUAUCAAAACAACGAAUUAUUUACAAAUUGAUUCAUAUAUCGAUACUUUAAUAUAAGGUAGUCAUAUUUAAUCUUCAAUAAAGACUUAUUCUUCUUUACACUUUAUAACUUAAGUUAAAAGAUCAUUAAUCAUAAAGUAUUUUAUCUUAUCGUAACAUACACUAAUGUAUCCAUAUAAAUCUAUCAUCAAUUAAAUAAUUUAAGAUUUGUCAUUGUUAAUAUUUGUAGAUCAUUUACAUGAUAAAAUAACAAAAGAAAUUGUUAACAAUUCUAUCAAAUAAUCUAAUUUCAAAAUAUAUAGCUUGAAAUGAUUCAUUUUUUUUUAACAAAGAGGAAACUCUCUAAAAGAUAAAAAAAAAAUGCUUAUAUUAUGUACGGUUGGAAAAUUUAACUAGAAUAGAGAAAAACAUUGAUUAACUAGUAGAACCUAACUUUGUGACAAGGAGCCAAACUUAGUUGGUUUCGCUAACUCCAAUGAUUAACUUGAUCAUCAAACACGCAAACUCUUCUAAUCUAUUGGUUCUAUAAGAGACGAUACGAACUAAGUUUCACGACAGCACAAAAAGUAGGCAGAAGGAUAGUAAAAGAUCUUUCCCACUUCAAAAAUAGAAAACAAAAAGAACAACCAAUGGAGAAAGAUUAGCAGACAUUUGGCGCAACUACACGGAAGUUCAGGUAACAGAUGAGGUUCAAACAACGGUCCAAAGUGGCACUUAGAAUUUAAUAUACAUUCAACAUCUCUCAUUGUAUUUAAGUAAGAAUCUGCAUUAAGGUGAACAAAUCUAAAAAAGAAACCAGAAUUCAACUAAAAAUAGAAUCUUGAUCUCUAUAGACAAAUGGAAGAAAUGGGACAAGGAAUCUUAAAAGUUGUCCAUCACUAUAGGGGUUCGAUCUCAAAAAUUGAAUUCUUUUUUGCACCUAAAAGUUAACGGUAUGACAAGUCACCUAAGGACUAGGGGUAGUGAACCGAAAGAUAAUUGAAGGAUUUUCCCUAAAGAGAGGGGGGAAAUGUCAAGAACACAUCAGAGUUUUUUCAACUCUUAUUGUUUUAGGAAAAUGUGUACUAGAAACUAAAAUCAGUCUCCAAAGAUUGGGAAGAUUGAAUGAUCGAUAGAUCAACAGAAGAUCAAUGUCUCGCCCCUUUUAUUAUUGAAGGUAAUUAAACUAUUCGGCCUUUAGGCCAACAGGCUGAUUGGUUCCUAGACCAAUCCUUGGGUCUGUCUGGGCACCAUCGCUUUGCCUCAUUGCAAUUUUGCAAGAUGAAUUAUGAUCGUUCAAAGGUUUUGAAUUUAAUGGGCCCUGAUUGAAGAGAUAACAUGCGGCAUGGAUUUGGAUUAAGUAUUUAAGUAGUAGCUAGAAAUAAUGUUGGGCUUGAACAUUUGGGAAAGGAAAAGCAUAUUUUUACACACUAUAAAAUUAGUAAGUCAGAAGCCCAGAAGGUUUAAUUAAUUCCUAAAAAGACCAAAAUGUUAAUUUGAAAUUAUAUUUGGUAACUUUUAAUUCAGGGAAAACAAAGGAAAAAUAUAUUUGGGAAGAUCACGAAACAUAUUUUUUAAUUGAGGGAAAAAUGCUUGCUAAUUAUAAAUGUGUGAAAAAUGAAAAUGAAAUCGUUAAAAAUCUAAAAUCUAAAACUGGCAAGCUUAUUUUUUAUGGAUAAAAUAUCAACUAAUAAACUUUUUUCAAUUAAAAUUUUAAAUAUCUUAGAAAGAGAAAACAGGUCUGGUAGACUGGGUGGGUAGCACCCACUUCACGUUCAUACUAGAUACCAAAUUUUUUUUUAGAUGAAUUCAACGAGAAAAACAAUAAACUCAAUCGAAAGAAACAAAACAUUGAUAUAAAAAUAUGAACAACAAAAAACCGAACCAAUCAGGCAAAAGAUGCUGAUGGCGCCCACGAUUACAAGUUAUUAAUCGAUUAAAAAUGUAAAACAGAGUAACUAAGCUGAUUUUCAUUCAUAUCACCAUUACAAGGUAAAACCAAUAAUAACAAUCACAAAUAACACAAACAAGCAAGAAACAUGUCUGUCGGUGACUCGGGUUGAUCAACUAACUUGUCGGAACAGGAACAGAGUCAACAGACUCAACCACCACUUCCGAGUUACGAUGGGGAAUGUCCUGGAUUCGACUCACAAUUUGAAGCAUCGUCGGCCGACUGUCCGGAUAUUGGUUGGAGCAAUCUAUGGCCAGUUGCAAUAGCUUAACCAUCUCUUCCUCCUCAUUCUGGUACCUCAACAAUUCCAUGUCGAAGACCUCGGAAGUCCAUUCAUCUUUAACCACGGACUGAACCCAUCGAGGCAGAUCAACGCCCUCAUCGUUAAGAAGAGCCUGCGCAGGUGCCUUACCAGUGAGCAACUCAAGUAGAAGAACGCCGAAGCUGUACACGUCGGCCUUCUGAGACACUCUGCGUGGAUCAGUUACUUCUGGGGCCCGAUAACCAGCCACACGGUUAGGUGUGGAUGAUUGGGUCACCAGGUGAGCGAGCCCGUGAUCGGAGACACGAGCUUCGUAGGAUUUCGUCAAGAGAAUGUUUGACGAUUUUAUGUUGCCGUGGGAUGCGUUGGGGUCUGUUGAGUGGAUGUAUUCCAGACCUUUCGCUGCCGACAGAGCUAUAGUAAAUCGUGAUUCCCAAUUCAGAGGCGUGUGGCCGGAGCCCCGGUUACCUGUAAUUAUUGUCAAAACAGAGUGAUGAUUAAUUAUUACCUAAGUUACUCACCCUCCAUUUCAACUUAAUCAGUCAGAUUUAGUUUUUUUUUGUUACCGUGUAAGAGAGCAGAUAAACUGCCCAUGUUCAUGUAAUCGUAGACGAGAAGCUUCUCGUCUCUGCUGUAAUAAUAAGCUCUCAGAGGGACGAGAUUCUCGUGAUCCAUGGCUCCCACGGGUUCGAUCUUAGCUUUGAACUCGUUUUCCGGUAAGUCGACGUCUUUCAACCUCUUUACAGCUGCGACUGUGCCCAUUUCUAAUACCGCCUUAUAAGCCGUUCCGAAUGUUCCUUUACCAAGAACCUCUGCGGAAGCUUUAAGAAGAUCUUCCAGAUCAAACACACUGCUGCGUCCACUUUUGAAGAAUACCAGCUUCUUGCUUCCACCGCCGGAACCGGAACCUGCAGCUUCUGCUGAACGCGUAGUGUCCAAGCUAAAUGCAGACGCUCCGAUUGCCGAAGAUACUGCUCCGUUCCCAUUUCCGUUGGCGACAUCACCGGGUCUUUUUCCUGUCAUCGGUAAUUCUGAAUCUGGUGGCUUUACUCCUACUUCCAACGACCUUGUCUUCCGUGCAUUUCUCUUGCAGCAGAGAAAGAAGACUAGGGCGAUGAGGAUAAGAAAGGCGACUACGCAGGCAAUGGCAAUGCCGGCGAUGGCUCCACCUGACAACUUUUUACUCUUCUUGCCACCACCAUCCACACCUAUAGAGGACGCUGCCGGAGACGGAGAAACAGAAGAACCAGGACAGGCAAUAAGAGGACCGCCGCAGAGUGACAUUCCGAGAAAAGCAUUGGUCGGAUUUUUUUGCAGAUGUACCGGCACAGAUCCGUUGAGUUUAUUAAAGGAGACAUUGAACUGUACAAGAUUGGGAAGAUUGAAAUCGGGGAUCUGACCAGUGAAAUUAUUAUUCUCCACGAACAAAGUACCCAACCUCGAAAGAUUCCCAAUCCCCUCCGGAAUCUCCCCAGUCAACCUAUUUCCGGCUAGAUUAAACCUUACCACAUUCUGCAUCUUGGAGAUCCCACUCGGUAUCUCCCCCGUAAAAAAAUUAUUCUGAAGGUAGAGAUUACGGAGCUGACCUAACGACACGAUGUCAGAAGGAAGAGGUCCUGAGAGACCGUUGUACCGGAGAGAAAGAGUCCUGAGCGAAGUGAGAUUGGAAAAGAUCCCCACCGGAAUCGGACCAAUUAGUCCAACAGCAGGAAGACGGAGUACCGUAACCUGACCAGCCUCGCAUGCGACACCUUGCCAUGAACAAGGCGAGUUAGAAACGUUCCACAAUGGCAGAACAGAUCGACCGACUGCUGUUUUGAAGGCGAGGAGAGCUGCUUGCUCGGUCAUGAGAUCGGCAACUGCGGCCGUGAGAAAAAAGAAAAAGACAACGGUGAGGAGAAACUGCGACGGUGAAGGCGCCAUUGGCGGCGGAAGACGCCGGAGGAGAGCCUCCUAGGGUUUGGUAUUUGUUGGAACGACAGUCACACCCAGACAGUGGAGUAUAAGAGAGAGAGAGAGGGAGGGAGAUUUAGUAGGUGCUGGUUGUUGGUUUGUUGUAGUGGUGAUUUCUUUUCCUUUAUUUAUUGAUGUAAAUACAAUUAAUAUAAUAUCCGGUAGAUUUUCCAAUAUUGAAUUUGGCAAAAUAAACAUUUCGAAUUUACGUAAUAAUAUAUUUAAAAAUACAUUUGGUAAUGUGAAUAACUCUGAAUAUUGUGUUUUUAUUGUACGAUUUUUUUUUAUAGGUGAUAAUAAAUUGAUAACCGUUUUUUUUACUUCUUCGCAUUAAUUAUUUAAUUUAAUUAUUUAAAAAUGUUCUUUUUGAGUUUAUGUUUUAAUUAGUUAAUGCAAAACACUAAAAGUUAGUUUUAAAUUUAAAAAAAAAAAAAAAAAAAAUUACCGGGUUUGAAGUUUAAAGGAUAACCCAAGUUUGAAAAUAAUAAGUAAUAAUGGGUGUAGAAAGCAAAGUAACAAAUUGACUGUCUUUUUUUCGAACCUACUUUAAUCUACGUGGCUACAUUAAAUAUAAAGUAAUUUGGAAAAAAUGAUAAUAAUGAGUGCUACGUAUGGUCCGUAGUUGCUGUAAUUACGUCGUCAUUCCCGGGCAGACGGACACAGUGAAUAACGGCUGGAAAUAUAAGGACCCACUUUUGCUGGCGGCAGCUGUAAGGUAGUUCCGAUAACAUGAGUGUCGGUUGAGAAUCUAAAAUGAAAAUAAAGAUUAAAGAAAGAAAGAAAGAAAACCCACUGGAUGAGAUCAACUACGUGGCGUUUUCUUUAAGAAAUUUUAUACUCUCUCUGGAUUAUUGCAAUAUUGCUCACCUAAAAUAUACCUAAUUCAUGUUACUCUCUCUCUACUUAACACAUUCAUAUCAUAGAUAGAAUCAUCCAGUGUUAUCAAUCAUUCAAUCAAUCAUUCUUUUUCUUCUAUUAUCUCAUCAGAAUUUAAUUCUAAUUUAAAACCUACUCAGAAAUAAAUAAUAAAGAUUUAGGAAGUAGCCAGUAAUCCAGCAUGGGCAAUUAGACAAUAAUGUAAAGUCGCAAAGAAAAUUAGUAUAAUGUAAAUGAUAAUAAAAUAAAAUAUGUUUUUUAUUUUAUUUUGACAAAAAAUCGUAAUUAUAAUUUACACAAUAAAUAUGGUUUGUUUUCCUGAUAUUUUUAACGUCUAACCUAAACUUUAAAAAAUUGAAAUUUAAUAUUUUCCUCAAAGGCUGCAAAUCUGCAAUAUUCGUUUAUUUUGUAUUCAGUGAUCUGUCAAUUGGAGAAUUGGGGGGGGGGGGGAGGGCAAAUACCAAAAAAGAACAUCAGUUAGUUGUACAACGUACAAGGAUGACAUGCCAACAAAAAUUACAAAAUACAACCAAUCUAUCAUCUAUUUAUCUAUGCAUUAUCAAAUUAUGCAUUUUGAAGCAGACAGCAGAUAUCAUUCUGCCAAGUGUGAUUACCGACACAACUUCAUUUUACAGACACUGAAGAAAAACAUGUAUACCGCCAUCCCAAGGAAAGAAGGUGUGAAAUAAUUCAAUCUUUAUCCCCCGACAUCUCUGGAAAUGGAAUUGAAAAAAGAAACAUACGAAAAACUAGAACAAUAAAUUAUUCAAAAAAACUCCACUAAUUCACUGGUCAUUGCAAUAAAUAAUUUUGCUCAAGUUGUUUUCAUGGCAAAAUACCCCAAUUCCCGCAAUGAUUUAAUCCUUUUUGCAGAAGAAAACAUGUAUGUCAAAACAAAAAUGGCGCACAAUGAAGCUAAAUGCCAUGAAUUACUUAAAAAAUAAGGAACAGAUAUUGGUGAAGAUGGCAUUGGGGGGGCACUUAGACUCAUUGCUGAGAAAGGUGAAGCAGAUUCAUUUUCCCUGCAAAAUAGAACAUAAUGGUACUGACAAAGUGACAGAACUGAGACCAAAGUGACAAAUAGGGAGGAAAGGUAUAUAACAAUUAACAAUUAGAUGUUUAAAGAUAUAAUUCAAAUAAUUUAACAUACCCAAAAAAAACCUUGAAUGAAUUCCAUAAAGAUUUUUUCUUUGGUAAAUGACUUCUGUGCCAUCUAGAAAAAUCUAGAAAAAUGGAAAUGGUGGCUAAAAUCAUCUUCAGUUGAUGCUUAUCAACUCAUCAAUCAUCCAAAACAAUAAUCAUAUACAGAGAAAUUGAGAUGAUUACCAUUAGUAACUGGCCUAUUGUUAGACGGAGUCCGAAGUGAUGCCAAUUUUUCUACAUAUUCACGCUCCAUAUUACUGCAAACAUAGGAAGUAAAAAUUGGACGCGAUGCAUUGAAACACUCAUUUCAAUUAAUAAUCCAACAGUGUUAGGAUCAACUUAUCAAGAAGGGAAUAUUAUUUAACACUCUUAUAUUGCAUCAAACAUUGAGAAAUUAUUCAAUGUAAUCAGAGUGAAAAACUCAAACAGAAUAACAGAUAACCACAAAAAUUAUCUAACGUAUUAUUACAAUACAAAAAUUACAAAACGAAUUAACGAGAGAACAAUACCAACCUGGUUUUUUUGGGGAUCUGAACAAUGACUUUAAAAUGAUGAUCUCCUCUAACAGAGGGUUUCUUAAUAUUUGGAACUCCCAUACCAUGAACUUUAAUUGUAUCUCCAGAUUGUGUUCCUGACGGAAUGUGAAGGUCCUUAUAUCCGUCAAUCAUUUCUACCUGAAAUAGUAAACAAGAAAAUGAGUAGUAAACAACAAAACGGAGUUAUUUUUUGAAUUUCCGCAAUAGUAGCAUAACUGCAUGAUAAAUUUAUCUUACAAAAAAAAAUCAAUCAAACCAUGAAAAUAUGCUACAAUUCAUUUGAGGCAGUCCAUGACUAAUUAAUGUCUAGGUCCUAGGAUUUAGCUAUAUAAAAAAAUGAUAGUAAGUUCUCAUUUUCCCUAUCAUUGUAUCUUGAAUCUUGCCCUCCUUUUCAUAUUUAAUGAUAGUUUAUCAGAAAAAAAGAAUUUAAUUGUAAGCCAAAAUACCAUUAAAAUAAAUAAUAACGAAAAAUAGUAAAAUAUAUUUUUCGAUAGAAUGUAACAUUUUGGUAACUUAAAAAGAAAAUACUAGUGAUGAAUUCAUAUCAAUAUGACUUAACUAUAAGACUGCUUCAACAACUUGGCACUAUACUCCUAGUUUUGGUUAGUGGUAAUUUGUAUCUGCAGAGAAAAAAUAAUUACCUGGACUACAGUUCCUAAUAUCGCUUCGGUAUAAUCGAUAUAUACAUCUGAGUAUAAAUGAAUACCAUUCCUCCUAAAUCCUUCUUUUCCCUCGAUAUGGAAGAAGAGAUAGAGGUCACCCACAACAUCUCUGCAUAUAUAAAACACAUUAUAUGAGGAAGACACUUUAUAUGUAAAAUAUAAUAGACUGUAAAUCAGUUGUCACAAAUAAAGCUGUCCUAGUAAACUGGCAACUCAGUCAGUUAUUUUUCUCAAUUCUCUAUUUUCUUAUCUUUUUUAACAAAAGAAAUUAUUUAUUUUUCAUAUAUGAAAGGUGGGAAAAACACGAGCUUUAGAACAAAAUCUAUUAAGUAUAAAUACAUGUCAUGUGUUAAUGUAUUAUAAAUUUAUAAUAACAACAACCAUUCUAACACAAAAGAUUAACGAAAUCUAAUAAUCAUUGAGAUGAAGCCUGAUAAUCUGGAAAAUUUCAAAACAUCGACGGAAAAUGUUAUUCUAGAAAUAAACAUCAAUUGAUCUACAAAAAAUAUUUUUAUAAUCAUCUUUGGUUCUUAUUAUUGAAUAAAAAUCUGAAAACAUCGACGUUUCACAAGAUUUCCCACUUGACCUUGAGACCUACAACUUCAUUGAAGAACCACUUCAAUUAGGAAGUAAAACUGUAAAAACACAAAAAAUUGCAACAAUUAUUUAUCAUUCAAAAUAAAGUUAAUAUUAUCUCUACAUUAGAUUUUUUUUAAUUUAAUGGUUUAUCUGAGAAAAUAAGAACUGAUUAACACACUAAUUUAAGAGCUCGUUAUCAUACACGUUGUGGUACAGUGUUGUUAUUGCUUCUAUGAAUUGUAAAUGUUUACUUUACCCAUUAUUAUCAAAAUGUCCCUCUCCUUGAAUAUGCAUGGUGACACCAUCAUCCACACCUGGGGGGAUGUCAAUAUUAACACGCUUUGUUUUCCGCAAUUUUCCUUCUCCUCUACAUGUUUGGCAAUGAUCAACAAUUAUCUUGCCAUUUCCAUUACAUUUUGAGCAAGUAGACACCUACAAAUAGUGUAUAGUUGGUAUACUAACAUUAAAAGGUGAACACAGUCAGAAAAUAUUAAAGAAAAACACCAAAGGAAUGAACAAAACGAAAUCUCAGUUUUGGGAUAGAUGUUACCUGAGAUAUUACUCCAAAUGGUGUUCUUUGAGAUUUCAUUACUGAUCCCCUACCUUUACAUUCAGAACAUGAAUUUAUAGAACUACUGGACAUUGCGCCAGUGCCAUUGCAGUUAGAGCAUGCUUCAAAUCGAGUAACAUCAAUGUCCUUUUUUCCACCAAAAAUUGAUUCUUCAAAGCUCAAAGAGAGAUCAAACCUGUUAAACAAGUUUUGAAGCUUUAUAGGAAAAAUGAAGUCUAGCAUUCCUUUCCUUAAGAAAAAACAUAAAGAUAUCAAGGUUUGAGUUAUCCCAUAGCAUGUAGCGCUGGCUAUCUAUGCUAUGGGGUAACAGGGGUUAGAGCAGCUCCAUUGUCAUAUGUCACCUUUCUUGAGCACUGAGCUGAAAUGUAUAAAGAAGACUUCAUGUGGAAAAUACCCCUUCCAUGUUACUCGAGUGCCAUGUUCAACGAAGCCGCUCUAUUAUUUUCUCCCUCUGGUCGAGUCAUUGUACUAUUUUAUCCAUAUAUUUAUAAAUGGAUUAAAUGCUUUGGUCCACCUAUUUGUAGAGGCUAUCAGGAAGAUGAAGAUCCAAUGAUCCCACUUUCAGAUGGUCUUCAUAUUGAUGGACUGACGUGACAUUGUUUAUAAGUGUCUCAUGCUAAUAAAUAUGCAAGGAAGAGAGGUCAACCAAGCCAUUGGAGGGAACUCACUCCCUCAUGCUGUCAACAUAUCCAAUUACUCAUCGAUCAUCAUGUAGGAAGUGGUGAUUUUUCUUGUGCCUUUUUUUAUGGCCAACCAUCAAAUAGGGACUUGGACAACUAUAUCCCUGUAGCGAAUCCAAUUUUGAUAGGAUGGUGCAUAAUAACACACUGGUGUCAUUGAUUGUCUCAUACUUUUACUCACUAAAAACAUGUAUAAAGACAGUGCAUACAAAGUACAAACAUAAAAAGUAACAUUUGGAGAUUAAGAACAACCUACCGGACAUCAAGAUAUUGACUACUAGUAGUUCGAUUAAAAUUCCUGCCUCCAAACUCAAAAAAUGAAUUUGACUGACCAAACAAAUCACCAAAGACAUCGAAAGAGUCAACCUAGAUAAUACAGUUGGGAAUUAGAAAUUGUAUGCCACUGACAAGUGACAACCAAGAGAAUUCAGCACUUUUCAUUCUAUCAGGAUGUAAUGCAGAAAUUAUAAAAAAUAUAUCCGUGAACAAUAUUUUCGUAAUAAAAAAUAUGAGAGAAAUCACACCCCAUUUGAAAAAUUGCCUGAAUCUUGAAACCCGCCUUGCAAGUAUUCCUCCCCAUAACGAUCGUAUAAUGAUCUUUUCUCGUCAUCUGAAAGCACCUAUAAACAAUGUAGAUUAACAUAUAGGGGAAUCAGAGAUUUCACAACAACAAAAAGCUUAAAAGUAAAAGACAUGAGAUUUUUUGGUGACUUGGGUCUCUGGCAGAUUUUAAAAAUCCUGUAAUUAAGGAAUGUGAUUAUAUGGAGAAUGGAAGAUAACUACCUCAUAUGCAGCACUAAUCUCCUUAAACUUUUCCUCUGCUCCCGGAUUUUUAUUCAUAUCUGGAUGAUACUGUAAAGGCAAUAUGUAUAUGAAUUGAUAAUGCCUUAAUGGCACCACUUAAUAAAAUGAUCAAGCACGAACCUUGCGAGCGAGAUUCCUGUAAGAGCUUUUUAUCUCCCCAAGUGUCGCGUUUCUAUCGAGAUUCAGCGUAGCAUAGUGAUCCUUAGUCUUCAUCUUCGCACUCACCACGAAGUGGAACCUUUUAUUUCGAUGCAUAUUCUGUUUUCUAUAGAAUACAGGAAUCCCAAAGUUGUUGGUCUCUGAGAAGAACAGCCGGUGGGAAUCGUUGCACAAAAAAUUUGACUUCAUUCCCAGACUCCGGAAUAACAACACUCUUCUCGAUGAUGAGGAAUUGGAUACAGGAUUGGAAUUAGUUUUUCGGUUACAGAUAGAAGAAAAAUGGAAGGCGGAUAUGGUUGAGUGGAAGACGGUCAUCGUCGGAAAAGAUUUCCAACACUUGAGAGUUCAGAUAGGAGAACCGGCCAGCCGGGCCAGGGGUAACAACUAACAAGAAAGAACCCUUAAACCUCGAAUUAACUAGAUCCGAUAAUAUAACCAAAUGCAUAUACAGUGUUCUAAACGGAUCAACUACGUAUCGAAUUUGUUGAUCCAUUUAACCCGUUGGACCCAAAAAUUAGUUAUCACAUACCUCUCGGACAUUAUGCAAAUGAUCACGGGAAAUUGGGAAUGACUGAUCUUUUUUUCAAAUGAUAUAAUAUAAAAAAAUUAAUAAUGAAGAAUAUAAAAAAUCAGAGUUAUUAAAUCGACUUUGCGUCUUACAUGUGUUAAUAUUUUGUACAGUAUAUUAUUUUGUGUCGUAUAUAUGUUAGUGUCUUCUACAGUAAGUUACUUUAACCAUUUUAAACAAACACACUGAUAGUAUUCAAAAUCAAAGUUGGAUAGUUGAAUGAUUCCAAAAUCAGAAGAAGAUAAAUGAAGAGUCCAUGCUGAUCCAAUAAAUAAAUAAUGACAAUAAAAAAGAAUUCUAAACUAAUAAAUUAAUAAGUGACCAAAUAUUGUAUUCAGUAUUCCAUUCCAACCCCACUGAGGUACUGGCAUGGCUGAUGUGAGAGUUAAAUUCAAAUUUAAAUCUUAUCAUCACUCAUCACUCCUCUAAACUUGCAACAAACAAUUACAAUACAUGCCAUUCAAAUUUUCAAGACUUCAAGUUCAAGGUCAUGAAGACUUUAUUUUUUAUUUAAAGUCGUCUCAAAUCAUUUUCACAUUUAUAUAAUUGUAUAUAUCAAACAAUCAUCACCAAUUUACCAUUUACGCAACCCUUUUAAAAUUAGUUUCUAAUGGCUACUUUUGUAAUUUUUUUAUAGAUUUAUAAUCAAGUUAUUGAAGGUCGAUUAUGCAAAUUUCUGAGAGUUGUUUAAACUAGAAUGACACUUUGAUUUCAAAUUACCAAUCAAAAUCUAACUACUCUUUUAAGUUUUUGAAUUCUACAAAUACCCCUCUCACCAAAGCGCAAAUUACACAUAGUCACUACAAGCCAGCCAAUCCAUAAGGAAAACAUGAAACAAUUCUCCAUCGUCAUCUUCUUCUUGUUUACUUUUUCCUCCUGCAACGGCGAUACAGUGACGAGGGUGAUCUACUCCGAGUGUUCAGACCGAAAAAUAUCAUCGUCGUCACCGUACCAAUAUAACCUUAACUCCUUACUCACAUCUCUAACCAACUCCGCCACCUUCACGACUUACGCUAACUUCACGGCGUCGAUAGCUUCUCCUUUAUACCCUGUUUCCGGUAUCUACCAGUGCCGAGCAGAUCUCUCUUUUUCCGACUGCGAGUCGUGCGUGAAACAAGCGGUGAGUCAACUUCCAUCUUUAUGCUCCUCGUCUGAGUCAGCCACGGUCCAGCUACAAGGUUGCCUUCUUCAGUACGGUAAUAACAGCUUCAUCGGAAAAUCCGACGAGACUUUACGGUUCAAAAGGUACCUAAAAACAACAAUCGAUUAAGUUAAGUUUCUCCCGCGAAUUUUGUCAUUUUGGUGGGUGUUUUCAGAUGUGGCUCGGGAAUAGAGAGCGGAGGGUUCGACCCGAAUCUAAUGGCAAUGAGAGAUGACUUACUGUCAGCGCUAACGGUACAACCAGGGUUUUACCGAUCGAGUAAAGCCGGAUACAUCGACGGAGACGCUCAAUGCGUCGGGGAUCAGAGCAGCAAAGAAUGUAACGAUUGCGUUAAAAAGACGGUGGAGUAUUUGGAAAAGGAGUGUCCAUCUUCAGUCUCCGGCGUUGUCUACCUCGGUAAGUGCUACGCCGAAUACGCCACACAAGAUGAUCAUCAGCACACGUACGAAUCCAAUUCAAACCCAUCACCAGAACACGACCACGGUAGGUAGAUCAUUCAUUAUCAGUUCAUCACCAAUUCACCAAACGACAAAUCCGAAAUUCACGUGCACGAAAUUCACAGGUGAGCAAGCAGGAAAGGAUCUGGCGAUUAUAAUUGGGAUAGUUGCAGUCGUUAUUCUUCUUAUUUUCUUCGUAGCUUAUCUGAGGAGGUCAGUAGAGGAGAAUCAACUUAAAAGUUAAGACAUAAAAAUUGCAAUUAGAUCCUCUAUCUAUCCUCCGGAUUCCAUCCUCGGCCAACUCCUUCAGCUAAGGAUCUGAUUGUGAAUAAUUCAUAACUAUGAUAAUUUAAUAAAAAUGACAAAUACCUAUCGCAAUCGAUCAUUUUUUUUAACACUGUCGCGUUGUUAGACAUGAAUUAUUUCAACCAACUAAGAAUAGUAAAUAAAAGAGUGCUCAAAGACAAAGAAUAGUAAAUAAAAAAUUACUAACAUACUACACACAACUCAAUUGAAAUAUUACAACUAACUAAAAUUGAAGUGGGAUACAUCACAAUCGAUCAGCGAUCAAGUGGAUCUUUCUUUUUCAUACCAUGUCAACUUAGUAGGACCUGAACACUUUGGAUGCACAGUCAAUUCCAAAUCAGCUUUAGCUGUUUAAACUUUGAAGGACAAACAAAGAUAUAGAAACAAAGUGGAUAUGGUAAGGAAGUACCUGUCGAUUAUAAAACACUUUAGAUGCUCAAUUAAAUGAGACAGAUGCAGUUUAGGAUCAUAAUAGAAUUGAGAUCAUCCAUGAAUAAUUUAAGAUCAUUGCCGACCAUAUCUUUCUUUAUUCCAGAGAUGAUGAUAAUGUAAUGAUUGAUGAUAAAUUGAUAAAGUUUUUUCGAAUAACUUUUUUCUGCUCAUAUAACUUUUUUUUUUAUAUAGCUAAUUAUCUACUGAGAUAUGCAUCAUUCAUUCAUUCAUUCAUCAUUAACUUCAGAAUCAGGUAUGAUCAAGGAAUGAAGUGAGAGAUAAUGUGAGUUUGGAAACUUGAAAUAAUAUGAUGUGUUGGUAUGAAUCGAUUGAUUGACAGGAGGAAAUAUUACAUUACCCAUAGCCCAUAGGCUAUAUCCAAGCAAGUUUCCAAUCAAGUCUCCAACUACUCUCACAACUUUCAACUACUACUAUAGGCUCAUAAGGAUAAGGUUUCUUCUAUCAUCAACAGUGAAAAUAUGAAACAGAUCAUACUGCAUACAUUGAGAGCAACAGUGUUAUUUUCACUACCCAGAGUCCCAGCUACCUGCAAUCCUAGCCCAGGUAAAUGGCCGCCAUCUGGAUAAAAAAAAAGGGUAAGUGUUAAAACUAGCCACCUAAGAUGACUUGGUGGUCAAAACUACCCACCAAGCCUAGGUGUUAGGUGGUUAGGGUAUGUUAGUGUGUAAAAUUUCCUAAUUUGCCCUUUAUUAGUAAAUUGUGUGGGUUGUACCCAUGCCCGUUUCCAUGCCCGUUUACCCGUUAAAUCGUCUCCUCCUUCUGGUGUCUCAUGGAACUACGCUAUUUUCUGGCAGAUCUCGAGGUAUAAAUCCGGUGAGACCGUUCUUGGAUGGGGCGAUGGGUACUGCAGGGAGCCUCGCGAAGGUGAGGAGUCGGAUUCCGAUGCUUCUGCAUUGGAGAAUGAUUGGGUACAUAAACAGAAUAUGAAGAAGAGGGUUCUACAGAAACUUCACAUGGAUUUUGGCAGGGGCUUUAAUUUCAGGGGUUCCUCCUGUCUUAUCUGAGCAUAUGGAUGUUGAGUUGUUGAAUGAUGACAGACCUGCUGUGUCGACGGUGGUAACAGAUGAGAGGAGGCCAAGGAAGAGAGGUAGGAAGCCAGCAAAUGGUCGAGAGGAGCCUCUCAAUCAUGUAGAAGCAGAGAGGCAGAGACGAGAGAAAUUGAAUCAACGGUUCUACGCUCUGCGAGCAGUUGUGCCCAACAUUUCUAAAAUGGACAAAGCAUCUCUUCUUGGUGAUGCCAUAUCUUACAUAACCGAGCUACAGAAGAAGCUCAAGGAGAUGGAAUCAGAGAAGGAUGUCCAACAAAAUUCUCCUGAUGUUGAUGUCCAAAUGGGUAACAAUGAGGUCAUCGUCCAUGUGAGCACUCCUUUAGAAACUCACCCUGUUUCAACAGUCAUUAAUGUCUUCAAGGAGACUCAAGUAGAUGUUGUUGAUUCCAAAUUUUCAGCCUCAAACAACACAGUUUUCCACACAUUUGUAGUUAAAACUCAAAGUGGUUCUGAGCAAAUGACAAUGGGUUUUUUCUUUUCCCCGUUACUGACAAUGGCAUGUGAAAGAAAAUUUUAAAAAAAAAGUAAGGGUAAAAUGGUCAUAAAAUUUAUAGGUGGGUAGUUUUAAUCAUUUUUCAUUUCUGCCCGUUUUUUAUUACAGUGGCACAUCCGUAAAUUUGAUUUAAUUAUAAGGGUAAUAUUGUCAGAAAAUGUGUUGGUGGUUAUUUUUAACUCCCUACCUAUCUUAGGUGGGUAUUUUUAACAUUUUUCCUUUAUUCUAACAGCCAUUUAGAAGAAAGUAGAAAAUGAUAAAUAAUAACUGUGAGACUUACUGUAUAUUCAGAUAAUUCGAAUAAUAUUCAAAUAAUCUGAAUUCAUCUGAAUAAUAUCUGGAUAAGAAAAUUUGAAUCUAAAUUCGGAUAACUUUUUAUAAAUAAUAGUCAAUUACAUCUUAAAAUUUAAAUAUUCGAAAGUCAAUUUAUAUUUAUUUAGAUAUUUGUAUUCAGAAUUAUCAACCAAAUUUAGAUUUUAACGACGGGUAUUAUAAAUAUUCAAAUCCGUUUAGAUAAUUUUCGAAUAUCAAAAAUGAUAUUCGAAUUCGGAAAUCCAGGAUUUAUACAGAUUCCCUGAUUUCAUUUUUAUUUUUAACACCAACCUUUUUUAUUUGUUUACAACCCACUUUUAUAACUGUAUAUAACUGUCUAUAAGGCCAUAAAUCAUAAUAAUAAUUUUUUACAUCCAUCAUACAUUGAGAAUCUUGGUAAAAGAGGAAGAAAAACUCAUUAUAUCCAUCUUUCUUUCCAUUGAGAAUUUGAGAUAGAUGGUAUCAUUAUAAUUUAUAAGGAGUAAGGACUUGACAAAAAAAAUUCAAAGAAGAGAUGAGGAUAAAUGUUUCCAUUGAGAUGGUAAGGAUUUGGAGAAAACUUGCAACAGCACUGAUUUCUCGCUUUUACUGACCAUCCCUUUGGAAACACCAAUCCUCUUCAACGAUUCACCGCCAUCACCAAUGCCUCUUUUUCUCAAUUGGGUCAAUUUAGAUGAACCUGUUUGUGUAACCAUAUUGCAGGAAACACACUUCCAAGUCAUGUUACAUUGAUUUCCAGUCAUCCAGCAUUUGUUGUUGGACAAAGACGACAGACCAUUUGAAGGAAACCCGUAUUUGAAUUCAUCCAAGUAGUUGGGAAUUGUUCUUGGGAAUGUUUGCUCGGUUUUACAAGUUCUGUAGUUGAAAUUAUUGUUGCUGUUGUUGGUGGUGGCGAUAGUUGUAGUAUCACUUGUAUGAUAAGAGGAGUUCUGAGGAAAAAACUUUCGACUGUCUUUAGAUUGUUGGAUUGUCCAACUGCUACUGCUGCAAACAAAAAAAGGACACAUUUGAAAUUGGAUGAAACAAAUUCUAUGUGUAUUAAAAAAACUUGAAAGGCCAGGUACUGUUAAAAUAAGAAGUUAUAGGUACAGGUUUGAAAUCAUCGGAGAACAAACAGCCUUUUGUUUUGCCAAUCUUAAAUCUUUUUCGACCGCAGCUUCUUUUUUAACAUCUUCGACGGAUUUCCCAGCAUGAACCUACAAAAUGCAUGCAUCAUUAAUUCAUUAUCAAUGGUUUUGUUACUUGCCUUUAAAUCAAAAACAUGAUUUCACAGUUUGAAACACAAAUUACGAGUAUGGGAACCUUCUUUUAGGGUUCUCCUCCAUAGAAAAUCUCCCUAGUUUUUAAUUUGAGUUGGUCCGAAUGAGUGCCUAAACUCCUAAGAACAAAAGUAGAAGACUAAGAAACAACACAGUUGAGAGAAAAAAUAGGUAUAUGAGUAUAUCCAUAGUUUUAUCAAGCCAAUGUUUUAAUUUUACACAAAACAGCAAGAUUACAAAAAUAGUUAAGAGGGUUUUUCAAAUUAAACUUUCGAGCAAACCAUGAUAAAAGAAUGCUACUUCUGUAAACAGUUAAACUGAAUUAUAACCAAAAUCCCAAAUUUCAAACUUAUUUACAGAACAAAUAUUACUUUUAAAAAACAAUAUAAAAAACCCCCAAAUCGAAAUCUCAAACCCUUAUUCCAACAUUCUAACAGCAUUAGGUUCAGAAUUUAAUUAUAAAUUGAACAGGUUAAAUUUUCUCUUGUUUAUCUUCGAAAUCCAAUAGACUCUUACUGACAAUCUUCAAUUCAAGGUUUUACAAUUGAAGAUAUUUAGGGUUUGCAUUACAUAUGUUGUAAAAUUAUCUCACACCACCUCUGCAUUUUACAAAAAAAAAAAAAAUCAAAAUACUACAGAUGUUAUGUUAACUGACCGACCUUUCGAUAAGGCCACUUGGGAAGACCGUUCUCGCGGCACUUUCGUUUCAAAACGCUGGUACAAACACCUACAGAAAAUGAUUUUUUAAAAAAAAUUACGACAUUCCCAAUAUAAUUCUUGAUUUUUUACCUAGUUUCGCUGCAGCUUCGGCUAUUGGAACGGAGAAAAGUUUAGUGAUUUCUUCAAAUGGGAUGAACACGCUUCCAUGCUGCUGCAAUGGAAUAGAAUGCGUUAUCGUCUGUGAUAGCGAUCCCAGUGGCGGCUGUUGAAGUUGAUGUUGUUGAGAGAAAUCCGACAUUCAGAUACUUGUAAAACACCAAAUUAGGGGUGGGCCGUAAAGGGUUGUCGCUUAAAUUAUUAUUAUUGCACGAAUAUGGAAUUAUAUAUUGCCAAAAGUACCCUUGCUCUGUGUUAUUUCAAUGAUGAUAGAUUUAUGUAAAUACAUUAGUGUAGACCACAAUAAGAUAAUAUGAAUUAUGAUGAUGUGAUCUCUUGCCCUAAAUUUCUAUUAAAGUUAGGUGUCAAGUAAAACUUGUCUCGAUGGGCUCGGGAUCGCGAGCCAACGAGCCGAACUCGAGUUUGAAAUAAGUCUGCCGUUGGUCGUCGAAUGAUAUCGAAAUAUUGGGGAAGAGAGUAAUUACGAAGCCAGUGGACAUCGACAUUGUACGAGUGAAACAGUACGCGGUAUGGGUGGUUAGGAGAACGAUUUCACACGCAGGGCAUGGCGCCUGUCGCUUCGCACGUCGGAGUAGGGGUGAGACCAAUGAACCUACAGAAAAUGAUUUUAAAAAAAAAUUUACGACAUUCCCAAUAUAAUUCUUGAUUUUUUACCUAGUUUCGCUGCAGCUUCAGCUAUUGGAACGGAGAAAAGUUUAGUGAUUUCUUCAAAUGGGAUGAACACGCUUCCAUGCUGCUGCAAUGGAAUAGAAGUGAAAUCUCAAAAUUACUUUCCAUUUUUUUAUUCGCUACAACUAUUACUCCUUAUUGACAACAUUCCUUCUGCAAAUCGAAGGUCUUUCGUCCCAACGACGUUCACGGCGUCUUCUUUUGCCACUCAUAUAAAUCGAAGGUCUUUCGUUCUGACGACGUUCACCCAAGGACUUUCAUCGACUAGAAAAAUACCUUUCGGUGGAGAAGGUGCAUGGAAGAAUGUGGAAAAUCGCUAAUGGAGUGGAGGAUGAGAUGGUUCUUACAACGAUGCAACCCCUGUUUAAAUAGCCGGAUGAAGAACCGAUGCCCGAGUCUUCCAAUAGCCCCUCCCCUGUCGUUGCUGGUGUCCGAUUUGUUGGUAUCCGAUGGUCAAAGUCGGUAUAGGCUGCACAAAUCGAAUAUUUGGAAAUGAGGAAAUACUUGAGUAGGUAUGGAUCGACGCAGGGAACAGACCCCCCUCGCUGGGACGUAGACGUUCGGCGGAUUGCUUGGAGGUGUCCGACAGGACAGACGGGCCUCCGACAUGAUGGGGGGUAUCCGACAUGAUGGGGGGUAUCCGACAUGAUCGACAGCGGGCAGUUCCUCACGCACUCGUCGUCCGGAACUGAUGGGGGUGCUCCGACAUGACCUCUGUCCUCACAAUGUAGGCCGUAACGCUAGUAAGUAGGCUCUGAUAUACAAUUGGAUCUGUGCCGGUAUUGGCAUGGGUCUGGCUGACUCCGGAACGGCCAGAUGAGUGCGUGAGGACUGCCGGAUGGUCCGCAGGGGACGGCCGCCCGUCUGUGAAGAGUAGUGUAUAAAUAUAUAGAUCAAUGUGUAAUAACUUAUUCUUUUGAUAUAAAUAAAAUAUGGAGGUUAAAAAGAUUUCAUUUAUUCUAUUAGUUCGUAAAGAAGAUAUUUAAUAGAGACGAGUUUUAAGAAACCCAAACAGAGAAAAUCUCUGGAAAAAAAAUGAAAUCUUCAGAGAUAAAGUAUGUAACUUCUGUUAUAAUGGAUUCGACACAAAGUACGUUUAAAUCUGUAAGUAUAUUAUAUUUUUUAUAUACAAAUCUUAAAUCAUUAUAAAAAGUAUGAUAAAUUCUAUCAGAUCCACCAUUUAUAAGACACCACGAACACCGGUCAGGUAUAAAUCUUGUUGGAUGCAGGAUGGAUCUUCCGCAUCAAACAAAACCCAAAUUAAUGGAAGUCUCUAAAAUAAGCUUCAAAGCGAGGCUAGACACCAAAGACUUCCACCAAGGUAAAGGUCAAGACUACGAUCUCAUAUAAGAAUGAUUCUUUCUGUAGAAGUGGCGCACAAAUGGAAAUUUCAUCAAUUGGAAAAGUGUAUAUCGAGCAUCCACCCGACCAACACAAUCCGUAAAGAGCCAACAAUGUUUACAAACUAAAACGAGUGCUUUACGGCCUCAAACAGGUGCCGCGAACGUGGCAUGACCGACUCAAGCAAUUUUAUAAUUACAGGUAAACACUGCAAGAAUAUACUCUUAUUUUUCCUAGCUAUAACCAUAAAAAUAAGGUAAAUGUGUUGCAAUUAGUGAAGAGUUAAACUAAGGUUAGGACCAUGUUAAGGUUGAUUAACUAAAAAUGAGGGAAAUUCUUUCGUUUUUGUUUAAUAUUUUCCGUCAUUAUUUUUUAUAAAUCGUAACAACUUUUUAUUAACGGAAAUCGACAAAAAAUGACGGUAUUUCCCCAAUUUCUGACUUUGCAUAAAAAUGAAGAAAUUUUUGCCUCACAUGACACAUUUGGUCUGAAAGAAACAAGAGGUUCCAUCAGAGUCCUCUCAGACCCUCAGAAGUCGUUCUAACUGAUAUAGUAAAGGACUAUAAAAUAUCUUUUAAAACUGAUAUCUUUAACAAAGAAUAUAGUUCACAAUUGGAAAGGAUUACAAUACAGGUUUAGGAGACAACUCUCCUGAUGCCAAAUUCUUAGUUAAAACACUAGAAAUGAUAGUUACAUAGAAAAAAGUCGAUAUAGUGAAAAUCACAAUAUCAAUCCUACUGCAUUUUUAUUUUCCUAUUCAAUUAUAUUUUAUAACAUUGUCUUUUAUUAUCUUUAAUAAAAACUUAUAAUAUUUGCAAAAAAAUGAAGGAAUUUCCUUCAUUUAUGAUAUGUCAUUUUAAACCACUUUUCCUGUAAUGACUAUAAUUAAUACUUGGUAAUUUUGGUCGUAGAUUUUAUUUAAACUUUUUAUUACUUAAUGAAAUACUUAGAUGAAUAGAAAUACAAUAGAUAAUAAAUAGUAAUACCACCGGGUUCCAGCGAAAUUCAUAUAAUAACUCAAAUCAGUUACCCUCGCCGGAAGGGACGACGGCCUCGACAGGUUGUUUUUGAGCAUUAUAAGCAUCAACAUCAGCAGAAGCAAGCUGAAAAGCCGAAACUGGGUAAUUACGAGAUAACCCCAAUGGAGUCUUAAAAGUUAUAUUCCCAGACAUCGGAUCUUCGACAUACAUAUCCGACAGAGUGAUCCAAAUCAAUAACUCCUUGCUCUUCACUCCGGUUAUCUUCUUCAUCCUUCUGUUCUCCACGAAAGAAGUGACCUCUUCGCCGUAUGAUACAAGACGUCCGAUCUUCUGAAAGGUGUGCUCAGUCUUCUUCUUCUGUUUCAGCCAUACGAAGUCGGUGCUACGAUUAUAGCCGACUUCUGAUAAGUUUUCCAAUGGAAGGAGCCCCAGUGGGAGCUCAAGCCCUUCCAAGAGCUCUAUGCAUUUAUUCUUGCAAAGGAUGGAGUCUCCAGCGAAAAUCUCCGCACCGGCACGGUGGGCUUCGAUUUUGUUAGAGUUUUGCUUGGAUUCGGCUGCCGGUGCAAUUGCAUCUACGUCUAUGUCUACACUUGUCGUCGACAUGAUUGAUUGAAAUGGCUGAAUCACUAAGAGAUAAUGAUCGGAGUGAGGAGGAAGAGGCCGGAUUGAUUUAUAGUAUCCGUUAAGACAAUAUAUUACCUUCUUUAAGGUUUGAGUUUCAUAAAUCAAUCAUUCAUUUUUCAUUUAAUGUUUAUCGUUGGCAAUUAAAUGUUUCCUCAUUAUUUAUUUGAUCCAAAGCAAAAUUAAUACAAUCUCUCAUCGCCCAACUAACAAGUUAACCGCCAACAGGUAACAGAAAACAACAAUCAUGUGGUUUUAUGACCAUGAUUCCAUGACCAUACAUACAUUACAUAAAAUCAUAAAUAAGUCACCAAAGAUCAUAAAUAAGGAUGUAAAUGGUUGGUGUCUGGGCUGGUUGAUUUAAAUUGGAUCAGGUUCGGGUAAAAAAAUAUUAUACAAUUUUUUUUAUAGUAAAAUUGGAUUCUAAUGGAGAAAUUACAAUAUUGGUUUCAAUGUUUCAAAAUUUUCAAAAUGGUUAUUAAAAAAGCACGACAGUUCGUCUAUCGGUUUAUUUAGGGAGAUUCUAAGGGAAUGACAUAGAGCAGAAUGGUUUUGACUAAGGAGGACGGGGGGUCUAGGUUUGACGGAUCCAGUGCUGCUCGCGAGAGUUGCUAGGGUCAAAUGGGCGCAUAAAAUAUGGAAUGGGAACUCACCUUGGGCGGCUUGGAUGCGGACACGAUACUUUAAAGGGAGAGCGUUGACUGAUAUCCAAACCCAUCCCAAAAACCCCCCAAUCUGGUCUAGCAUCCUGAGAGCCAAGCUGAGGAUAUCGAUUUAUGUUUUUUUGCAGGUCCAGAGCUGGGCUCAGGUAGUGCAAAUAUGAAAUCGGACUAUAUAAGAACUAAAUUAUCAUUGAUUGCCAUGUCUGAUCCUCUGUUCGAUGGUGUGUGAUCAUGUCGUACUUCUAAGAUGACCUUCUGUCUAUGGAGACUGAGAUAAGGAAAGCUAAGAACAUUCAACAAAUUGAGAAUUUGAGAAGUAGCAGUGCCAGCAAAAUAUGUCCUAUGUGACACAACCGAGGAAACAACAAUCCACUUAUUUUUCAAUUGCGACUUCAGCUGGACUCUUUCGAAUGAAUUCACGCGAUUGACAGAUUGUGCUUGAUAAAAGACUAUGAGUAUUACAACGAUAAAACACAGAGACAUUAGGGUAGGUGAUAUCAUCGAAGGAAUAUCCAAUAUCAGGAAAUCAACACCAUGUUGAGAAUUACAUUGGAAUGCACUUGCGAUAUAUAUGUGUCACCUUUGGAGGAAGAGGAAUCUACGACAUAAGGAGGGACUCUCUCGGCCGGUCAAUGUCAUCGUAAGAGAUUUCAUAAGAGAUUUAGAUACCAUCAAUAAACACCGACUAUACAAAAAAUCACACAUGUUAAAUUUGAAAGAUGCAACUAUCAGAUGAUGAGAGAAAGUCUCGAUAUUAGUUACUGAUCUAAAAAUUGAGGAUGAACAUAUUUACUGAUUUCACACACCCUAUCUAAAUCAUUUAGUUGUUUAUUUUAAAACUCUUUAUUUUAUUUUAAUAUCAUUUUUUUAAAAAAUGUUUUUUUUUGUACUGUUCUGAAGAUACACAUUGACACGUAAGUGAUGUUUGAUUGAAACGUCAUUGCUUACGUAUUGAAAUCUAAAAGACAAAAAAAAUUUAAUGUUUAAUGUAUUAUGGAGAUUGGAAAGAGUUGGAUUUUGUAUUAUACUAUUAUUUAUCAUCAACCAUUCGUAUUAUAUAAAUUUAUAGCUAGCGGUUAGAGCGCCUAGCAAUUAAGGUUUCCAACCCCCAACGUCGACGAGGUUAUCAUGGCCGUCACCGCUCCACCAAAGCUGCUCUUCCGCCAGCUGUUUGAGAAGGAGUCGUCAACUUAUACCUACCUCCUUGCUGACAUCGCCCAUCCAGACAAACCGGCCCUGGUUUGUACUUUCAAAUCUCAACUCUGAACACACAAAUCUUAAUUUGUUAAUAUAUAUAACAUGAGUGCUGACUUGGGUAUGGAGAGAUACCUGAGGAGAGGUCGAAGAGUCUGGUUGAGGUUCGUUCUUUAGGGACGGAUUUUAGUUGGGGUGGACGGACCUUACGUUUGCCUCACGUCUGACUAGUGGACUUAGUUGAUGGCUGACGAACUCAACCCUUGACUUCUUUCAGAGAAGAGGGGAAGGCAGAUGCCUUUAAUGGACUAUGGUUGUGUGCUCAUGUCGGGCCCCAGAGUAGACACGAGCACAUGACGGACGAAAACAUGUCACAAUCAAAGGUUUCUGAAACUGAGAUGAGAGAGAAAGGGUGUAGAAACCUGAGAUUAAUUAGACAGACGAGUUUUAUAGAGUUUGUGAGGUGACUUGUUUGUAUUAUGAGUUAUAUAUAUCAUUUGUAACCUUCUGAUGUGCCUCUAUACAAGGUCAGACUUUCACGUGGUGUACUAUUUUUUUGAGUAUAUAUUUAUCACGAUUUUAUUCAAAAAAAAUUAAUUUUGGGUGUAUAUAUAUAUAUAUGAAUACGAUGCAGUUGAUCGAUCCAGUAGACAAGACAGUGGAUAGAGACCUGGGUCUUAUUAAAAAUCUUGGAUUGAAGCUUGUGUUUGCCCUCAACACCCACUGUCAUGCCGAUCAUAUAACUGCUACUGGAAUUUUGAAGAAGAAGGUCCCAACGGUGAAAUCUGUGAUUUCAAGAUCUAGUCUGGCUAAAGCCGAUAUUCUUAUUGAUGGAGGUGACAAAAUUCGUAUUGGCAAUCUGUUUCUGGAAGCCCGUCCUACUCCUGGGCAUACUACAGGUUGUACCACAUAUGUUACAGAUGAUGCUCCUCAUCACCCAAACCCUAGAAUGGCUUUUACAGGUGAUACUGUGCUCAUUGGUGGUUGCGGAAGAACAGAUUUUCAGGUAUAUAUAUGUUUGAUGUUAUGAAUUUGAUUUCUUAAUUCUUCCACACUCAUCCAUACACCAAAUCUUCAUUGCUCCAUCAUCUUCAAAUCACCAGCAUCAAUCUUUAUUGCUACAAACAGUAAUAUCUACAUAUAUAUUAGUAGGACGCACUUCAGGUGCGUCGUACUUUGAAUGUGCCGUCAUACGUCAUCAAAUCGUGAUCGUUAAUAUUUAAUCCAAUGACUAAAAUAAUGUAUUGUAUAAGACACUAACACAUGUGCGACGUAAAAUCGAUCUAAUAAACAUAAUCGACUACUAUUUUAACAUGGUCAUCACUCAUUCGAUCACCGUACCUGCAGGGAGGUAGUUCUGAAAAACUGUACAGAUCAGCACAUUCACAGAUAUUCACCUUGCCCAAGCAAACAUUACUGUAUCCUGCUCAUGACUACAGAGGCUUCACUGUAAGUUUGCUACACGGAUCUACACUAUUGGUUUUAAUCUAACAUACAUAUAUGCACGCAGGUGACUACAGUCGAACAAGAAGCUCUCUACAAUCCUCGUCUCACCCAAGAUGAGGUGAAUUAAUGACCCCCAAAUACUAAUUUUAUCAAACACAGAUUGACUGAUUCUUUGAUUUCAAUUUUUCAGGAAGCUUUUAUCAACACAAUGAAAAGUACGUACGUGAUUUAUAUAUACAUAUAGAUAUAUAUGGAAGAAAGUUCAGAAAAGUCUAUUUAAUAUGAGCCCAAAAAAUGACUGAACGUUUUUGGACUCACCAAAAAAUGGCUCACCUGAAAAUUGCUUUAUAAAUAUAUAAUUAUUCUUCUUUCAAAUUCUAAUUCUUCUGAUUCUUCCAGAGUUGAAGCUGCCAUAUCCGAAAAUGAUCGAUAUCGCGGUGCCUGCAAAUUUGGUGUGUGGUAUUCAAGAUUCCAAGAUAUGAGAGGCUCAUAAUAUUUGUGAUCAACUCAAACUCUCAAAUCAACCAUCGUUGUUUUGAUUAUUAUUAGAUUGGAAAAACUGAUUUGUAUUUUCUUGUUGUAUCUAAUUAGUGUAGUAAACUCCUUUAUAGCAAUAGAAAUACGAUCUACCACCAUAAAAUAAAAUUUUUACCUAUAAGGUAAUUUAAUAAUUACAUGACAAUGGAAAUAAAGUUUUCUUAAUUAUUAUUGUCUAAUAGUCAUCUUCAAUUAUUGUCGAAUUAUAUUCAAUUACAUUUGAGAACUUUUAUUUACUACAAAAAAAAUGACAUUAUAUGACAGACUUUUCGUGGAGGAAUUUCCCUAAUCCUAAGUCUGUCAUACAAUGUAUCUUUUUUUUGUAGUGUAUUCACUUAUACUUAAUUAUUAUUAUAAAGAGUAGGGCCAGCGGCCGGGAGACAACGGAUCCCCCUGCCUCGCUCCCCUUCUUGGUCGUAUGAUAGUUGUUAGCGAUCCUUUCACCAAGGCAGACAGACAUAUAUUGAUAUCGUAGUUAUUGAUGAGGGCGGUUUUCUUAUCUCAGUGUCAGAGCAGUUGAUCGAUCUCUUGGUUGGUCGAUCGCCAAACCAAUCAAUUGGUUGUCUUAUAAUUGCAGGAGCCUUCACUAGUCGAUCGAUCAGAAGCUCUGAAUCCUUAGUCGAUUGCACGCUCGAUCAGAAUCUUUAGUCGCACGCUCGACUUCUUUACGCAAAGAAAAAGAGGUCGGUAAAAUAGCCUUAAAUUCUUAGAAUAACCAAACAAAUGAAUCUUUUACCUCUGAUAUGAAUCGGAUCAGUUUUGAAUUGAGUUGAGGUGAUGAUUCGAAAAUGUACGGAAAUUUCAAUCCCCAUCUCCGUACUCGAAUUCGAGGAUGGGAAUUUUUGUACUUCAAAUAGAAAAAUCCUGUCAGUACCUGACCAUCCAGAUAACGGGGUAUAAGAAAUCUCACCCCAAUGGCGAAUCAUAAUUUUAUAAAAAUAAAAAUAUUAAUAUUGUAUGAAAAUUGACACCAAAAAAAUUAAUCGGGCAUCGGGUCAUGGACUCAUUCAUUCGAAAACGAAUUUUAUCGGGUCUGAUCCCCUUAGGGUUUCCUACAUUUGAAAUUCUUACACAACAUAUCGUCACGGAUUUUGUUUCAGUAAUUCCCCGCCGACAAGCGAUACAUGGUCUUUAACUUUCCGCACACACGGUCACAGCUCGCCGCUACGCUUGCUUUGUUCACUACUGGAGCCGCACUCUUCUCAUACGGCGCACACCUCUCUUUCGUCAAUAUUGAGCCUCAGCAGAAUCGUGUCAAAGCACGUUCCGAUUUUGUCAAAGAUUAUCUCCGCCGGAAGUAUGGGUACGGUAUCGAUGAGGAAUAAUUAAUAAUCAAUUGUUCUGGAUCAUCUAUUUUUCAACUACAGUUUGUUUAAGCAAUGGAUAAUGAGAUGACGAGUUCCACGACCAUUGAAGGUCCUAUGAUCGAUGAGGUGGACAUGGGUGGUGUUCCGUCUGAUUCAUCUUCUACUAACACUGUUCGGGUUACGGUAGUUCAGGCAUCUACUGUCUUCUACGACACUCCUGCCACUCUCGGUACCAAAUUUUAUCCCCCUUUUCUAUUCUUGUUUUCUUGAUAAUAAUGGGUUGAUUUAUUUUAGUUGUGAUUCUUGUUUGUUCUUGCUUCUUCGAUAUGUUCAACAUUUGUCAAGAGAGAGUGUGUGAGUGUUAGUCAGUAGCCCACACACACUAUCACUAAGUCUUUUAAUUUUGGUAUUUUCUAAAUAUCUAAUUUUAGUUGUUGAAAGAUGCUCAUUUGUACUCUAUUCACAAAAAAGGCCUUCCAAUUUAACCCUUUAUAAAUAACAAAUAGUUUUAUUCAAUUGGGUGCUUGAAAACCGUUUGUCUUCGAAUGUGAUCACAUCAUAUUUUCUAAGUUAUGAUUUCCUCAUAUAUAUAUAUAUAUGAGCAUACUAUUCGGUCAUUUUAAAAUUUAAAGUAUUAUGAAGGAUUCACACAUCGCCCAAAUGAAGAUAUAAGUUCAAUGUCAACCUAAAUGGUGUUGAAAGUAUUGUUUGCUUGAAACAUCAAUUAUCCAAAAAAAAAUUUAUUCCGAUUUUAGUUCUGUUAGUUGCAUAGAUUUAAAAGCGGCGCUUAAAACGGAAAAGCGCUCCUGAGCACUUUCCAAAUCGCUUUUUUUAAGUGGGUUGGGUUGGGCUUGACCUUGCCGGAGCUUCCUUUUUUUGUCAUUUUUCUCCCUCGAUUUGCAUGUCUAGUAGUGGUAUGACUUUCCUCAUUUUUUCCAUCACUUUCCCUACCUUCAGACCGUCUGAAAAUGGAAAAAAAUAUGGCCGGAAUCCGGCCAGAUUCCGGCUAUCCUCGAUUUUAAUUUUUUGUUUUUGUUUUGCAAUGUUAUGCCCUAUAGGAACAUGUAGCCGGAUUUCAGAAACUUUUUAAAUAGGUUUGCCGGAUUUCGGUCAAAACAGGUCGGAAUCCGGUCAACCAUUUUUUUAAAUUUUUUUUUUUUGGACAGGCCUAAUGUCGUCCGAUGAAGAAUACGUCGUCGCUGAAUGUGACCUUAAUGACUUCAGCAGCGACGACGACGCUACGCAAGGUGGUUCGGAAGAAGAAACACCGAACGAGCCUACGCCUCCACCACCUUAGACAGUAGCUGAUCCUCCGGUCGUGGACAGUAACGGACUAGUAUACCACCAUUCCAUUGACCCGGAAUGGUUGAAAGACAAAACUAGACGACCGUCGAGCACAUAUCCCGGAUGGAAGUAUGGGAUCCUUGAUGACCCGACGAAAAAUAAGUAUGCGAUAAAAUGCUUCUUUUGCGGUCAAGUGUAUAACAGGGGGGUGGCAAGGUUGAAGACGCACUUGACCGGUUUGUCAAAUGCGAAAAAAAAACGUCACCAAAUGUCUUAAAGUUCCAUACCAUGUGCUUCGAGAGUUAGUCGAGCAUAUGAACUCGAAGAAGGCAACGACACCAGUUAUUGACGUUGAUCUGUUUCCGAAAAAAACUAAGAAAAGAAAGAUAUCAAGUGGAGUGGGAUCCACAUCUAUCGCGGGUUCCGUCAAGGUAUACGGAUCGUUGGGCUUAGAAAAGGGACAGACUAUUGAAAGCAUCGUUCGAGAACGACGAACUCAGAAAGCAAAGCAAACUACAAUGGAGGAUCUUUUGAAGAAACAAGAAAAGAAAGACGCACACGAGUACAUCGCAAAAUUCUUUUAUGACAACUCCAUUGCCUUUCAUGUGGCAAAAAGUGAAUCAUUUGAGGUAAAAAAUUUACUGUAAAAUAAUUACCGUUCUCCAUUUCAUUCAAUACAAUAAUAUCUUCUAUUAAACAAUUUCAAUUGUAUUAUUGAAUUGUAGUGUAUGAUGGAAGCGAUUGGAAGGUAUGGUAGAAAUUGCACACCACCAACUCCAUAUAGUCUUGGAAUUCCGUUACUGAACAACGAAAUAAAGUCUAUUGAUGUGAUUAGAAAGAGACAUGAGGAAGCUUGGAUUGAGAGUGGUUGUACCCUCAUGUCUGAUGGAUGGACGGAUCGUCGUAGGAGGAAUAUUAUUAACUUUUUGGUGAAUUCUGUUGCGGGAACCUUCUACUUACAUUCAAUCGAUGCAUCUAGCCAAGAUAAGACGGCUGAGUUCAUUGCAGACGGCCUUGAGAAUGCAAUGAAAGUAAUUGGGUCUCAGCACGUCGUGCAGGUACUUAAUUAUCGAGUUCAUCUCCAUCUUUUAUUUUUGUUAAUUUCAAACAAUUUGAAAUUUUCAGAUUUGCACGGAUAACGCUUCUAACUACGUUCAUGCGGGAAAACUUUUAAUGGAAAAAUACAAUCAUCUAUUUUGGACACCGUGUGCCGCACACGUCAUUGAUCUUAUCCUUGAGGACAUAGGAAAGAUACCGCAAUACAAGAAUUGUAUCAGAAAUGCUAUGAAAAUCACUAAUCACGUGUACAACCAUUCAACCCUUCACAACAAAUGGUUAGAGACGACGAAAGGAAAAGAAUUGGUUAGGCCGGGGGUCACUAGAUUUGCCACCUCGUACCUUACAUUGAAGAGCUUGCACGAACAAUCUGAAGUCUUGAGGACAUUUAAUUGGCGUCCAUGGGUGAAGAAGGGAGAUGGUUUAAAGGUUGCAGAUUUAGUCGUCAACACGGUUCUGGAUGACUGUAGAAGAUUGUUUAAAAGCAUCUGAGCCAAUACUUGUCGUGUUGAGAUUGGUAGACAGUGACUCCAAACCAAAUUUGUCAUCUCUAGCGGCUGCAUUUCUGAAGGCUAAGGAUGCAAUAAUGACAAACUUCCAGAACAUUGAACGUGACUAUAUGCCCAUUUUCAAAAUAUUAGAAAGUCGCUGGUCCAAGCACUUUCAGUCUCCAUUAUUCAAAGCAGCAACAUUCCUCAAUCCAGGAGUUUACUACAAGAUAAAAAGGUAUUUCAUUCAUUCUCGAUAGUUAUGACUUAUGUUUCACUAUCACUAAAUUCAUUCUUUAUCAAUUGUAGUACUUGCUGUAUUGACGAAGUAGCGUUAUAUGAGAAGGCUUUUGAAGAUUGCAUGGAGAAGAUGAUCGACGACGAUGAACUUAGAAUGAAAGUCGUUAUGGAUAUUGACUUGUACAAGACUAGACAUGGAAGAUUUGGCUCAUCAAUUGCUAAAUUGGCAGCUGACUCCGCCGAACCAAGUAAAUAUUCGAUUUUUUCUUUGUUUGACAAUUAAUCAUGUUUGUCAAGUGAUGAUUUUCUUUGUAGUUACGUGGUGGCGUACUUUUGGAACUUCCACCAAAGAAUUAAGAAGAUACACAAUGCGAAUCUUAGCUCUGUGUGCCUCUGCAUCUAAUUGUGAGAGAAAUUGGAGCUUAUUUGAACACGUAAGACCUUGUCAUUUGUAAAUUAGGGUUAGUUUUCAGAUAUUAAAGUCAUUACCUUAACCCUAACUUACUAUUUGCAGAUCCAUUCGAGGAAAAUGAAUCGAUUGAAUUCAAAAAGAUUGGAUCGUUUGGUGUACAUAACGUACAACCGAAAAUUAGAGGAACGUACUCAACGACACCGACUCUUGGAAUUGGAAGCGAGUGGUAAGUACGAUCCAAUAAGAGUCGAUUCUAUGAACUUCAAUAGCGAGUGGAUGACAGGCAUAGAAGGGGCAGUAGACGAGUUCGUCUACACUGAGGCAGAUGGACUAACAUGGACGCAAGUGGAGGAAGCUUCAGGUGCUGCUGAACAACCAGGACCGUCUACAAGGAGUGGGCAAGCCCAUGCAUUUGCAUAUCAGAGAACGAGGUCUUCAUUUAGAGAAAUGGGAACUAAAUCCCAAUUUCAUAUGGUCAUGGAUGAAUUACAGGAAAAUCUCAGAGAUCCUAUAGAUAAUGUAUAUAUAGGUGCUGGUAUUGAUUAGGUUAAAUGACUUGUGAAAUGACUUGGAUGUAUUUUUUUAAGAUGUGUAUUUUUUAGAUUAUGACUUGAAUAUUAUGUUUACAAAUUACAAUAUUAUGACUUGAAUUUCAAUAUUAUGUUUUGUUCUAUGACUUCUAUCAUAUAUUUACAGGUUUAAAAAAAAAAUAUAAACAGGGGUAUAUAUUCAAUUUUCUAAAAAAUUACAUUUAUUUACGAUAUUAGCGCGUUGAAAGCGAAAAAAGCGCUCCCUGGAAAUUGGGAGCGCUUUUUAUUAUUUGAAACUAUGAGUUUGUCGGAUUUCGGUCAAAACAGGCCGGAAUCUGGUCAUCUUUUUUUAAUUUUUUUUUUGGAUAGACCUAAUGUCGUCUGAUGAAAAAUAUGUCGUCGCUGAAUGCAACCUUAAUGACUCUAGCAGCGACGACAACGCUACGCAAGGUGGUUUGGAAGAAGAAACACCGAACGAGCCUACGCCUCCACCACCUCCGGCAGUAGCUGAUCCUCCGGUCGAGGAUGAGAACGCAUUAGUAUACCACCAUUCCAUUGAUCCGGAAUGGUUGACAGACAAAACUAGACGACCGUCUAGUACAAAUCCCGGAUGGAAGUAUGGGAUCCUUGAUGACCCAACGAAAAAUAAGUAUGCGACAAAAUGCUUAUUUUGCGGUCUAGUGUACAACGGAGGAGUGGCAAGGUUGAAGACGCACUUGACCGGCGUGCCAAAUGCGAAAAAGAAUAUCAAGAAAUGUCUUAAGGUUCCAUACCAUGUGCUUCGAGAGUUAGUCGAGCAUAUGAACUCGAAAAAGCCAAUGACACCAAUUAUUGACGAUGAUCUGCCUGCGAAAGAAUUGAAAAAAAGAAAGAUAUCUAAUGUAGUGGGAUUCACAUCCACCGCAGGUUCAAUAAAAGUAUACGGAUCGUUGGGUUUAGAAAAAGGACAAACUAUUGAAAGCAUCUUUCGUGAACGAUGAAUCCCCAAAAAAAAAACUACAAUGGAGGAUCAUUUGAAGAAAAAGGAAAGGGAAGACAUAAACGAUUACGUCGUCAAAUUCUUCUACGACAACUCAAUUGCAUUCAAUGUGGCGCUAAGUCAAUCAUUUGAGGUAAAAUAAUUAUCGUUCUCCAUUCCCUUCAAUAAUCAAUACAAUUACACAAUUACAAUUGUAGUGUAUGGUUGAAGCGAUUGGAAGGUAUGGUAGAAACCAAGGUUUAAAAACCGGUUAACCGGUUAACCGGUAACCGGUUCUGGCUGACCGGUUUUCCGGUUAGGCCGAUUAACCGGUGGGGGUAUUUUCGUAAUUUUUUCUUCUUCAUAAAUUCACUAAGGCUAAAAAUAUAUUUUUAUGCCAAAAAUUUAUACAUUGGUCUAUGAAAAAAGCUAUAUUAUUUUUAAUAAAAGCUCCUCCCACUCUUAAGACUUCAUAUUUGUUUUAGACAAAAUGAAUCUUUAUUUAUAGACCAACCUUCUUUGUGUUUUUUAAAUUCUAUCGAUGUGGGAUUAAAAAUGUGUAGUUAAAAAUAUUAUAAAAUAUUUUUUGUACUUUUUAUUAAUGUGGGACUAAAUAAAGUGUACAUGCAUGUAUUAUUAUAAAGUGUACAUGCAUGUAUUGAUAUAAAGUGUACAAAGUAAUAAUACAUGCAUGUACACUUUAUUUAGUCCCACAUUCAUAAAAAGUACAAAGAAUAUUUUAUAAUAUUUUUAACUACACUUUUUUAGUCCCACAUCGAUAGAAUUUAAAAAGCACAAAGAAGGUUGGUCUAUAAAUAAAGAUUCAUUUUGUCUAAAACAAAUAUGAAGUCUUAAGAGUGAGAGGAGCUUUUAUUAAAAAUAAUAUAGUUCUUUUCAUGGACCAAUGUAUAAAUUUUUGACAUAAAAAUAUAUUUUUGGUCUUAAAAUAAAUUUUUGGUUUUAAAAAAUGGGUCGGGUACGGGUCAGACCCGACCCGUAGACCCACAAACCCGCUCCAACUAACUGGCUACCGGUUUUGGAUUUUUUACCGGUCAGCCGGUUAACCGCCGGUUAACCGUCGGUUUUUAAACCUUGAUUGUAGUCAUACUCUAUUUUUAGUUUUCUUAGUUUUAGUUGGAGAAAAUUGUGAAGCAGUUCAUUGCUCCACGGCGGUUACAAAUUUGACAUGGUAUGUUACAUACAUCCUUUUUGACACUCUGUCAUGGUAGUAUUAACUUUUAAUAGUCAUAACAGUCGGUGCCUCAGACCUCUGUUGCCUUAUCUUGAUGUCUAAAGGCAUAUCUUGCAAGCAGUUGGACUUUGUUUUCUCUUGUGGUGACAUUUUGUAUCAAAUAUCAAUGUUUCAUAAUCUUCCCCCAGCCCUGCUCUAAUAUAUAAAGAACCACGUCACCAUCUGAAUUUUUAUCUCCGGCAAUCGGUUUUGAGUCAAUGAUACCUGAUAUUUGAUAUUUCAGAGAGUGAUUCUUCUAUAUCUUAAUCCUAUUAUCCUUUCCUUAUUGAAUGAAGUUUUUGGCAUGGGCUUAGAAUUCUGGAACUUGGUGAGAUUCCAUAAUGUGGUCUGUGGAGGAAAUUAACAAUAAGAACCAUUCCAGGAUAAGCUGAUCCUCUUGAACACAUAUUAAGUCGUCGAGGCUCUUGCCACUAUCGACAUAUUCCAUGAGCUUGUUCUCACUAAAGACGAUGGAGAACUGCACUCUCCAUGCAUAGUAUUUGCUUAUAUUGAAAGUGACCGUCUUGAGAUGCUUUAUGUUCCUCAAAUUAGACAAAAAUAGCCUUCUCGGUCGUUAUGAAAUCUAUUUUGCAGCGGAAAAAAGGAAUGGACAUUGCCAACGAUGAUUGGAAGGUGUCCCAAAGGAGAUCAGGAUCUUACUUCGCUCUUCAUAACAUAUGAACAUGAACUUAUCAAAUGCGAGGGUGUGGGAAAGAUCCAUACUCACACAGCCACAAUACUUUCAUUAUGUAUAAAUUAUAUACGCUUAAAUUCAUCCUUGGUAUGGCAAAUCUGUCAUGACCAUACUUAAAAGCUGAAGCUAUAUCUAACUAAUCUAUGUUUAUUUGAAACUAAUUGCAUGGAAUUGUGGAAAUUCUAAUCAACACUAACAAUUUUCUAUUUGUCAGCAUUUCCGUCUGUUUUUGUUUUAUGUUUGCCGGCCACAGUAAUUGGAAUAUCGAAUAUAACAAUACAAAAUUCUUAUCUGGGCCAAUUUACUAUUAUUUAUUUUAAAUGAUUCCAUUUUAGGGUAAAACAGUAGAAGUUGGUAGAGCUCAUUUUGAAACAACAACAACAAGAUUCACCAUUCUUGAUGCACCGGUCAGUUUAUACUUUUUUUUCUUAUCUUAUCGUGCUAUUCAUUUUUUUCUGAAAUAGUUUCCAAAGCAGUUUAAUAUGAUUCACAGCUUUUGUUUGGUUAUGGCACACUUUUCUCUAGUUUCAUCCGAAUGUUUUCUUCUUCUCCCAACUGAAUAAUUAAUUAAUUAUUCAUGUAAAGUUCGAUUUACAUAAAAUAUGAAAUGUUAUGCUUGUAGUUAGAUGUUUUGUUGAUAAAAAUGCUUGUCAUUGUUUAAAUCUUUGAGCUGUAAUGCUUUUCAUUUUUCUCCACUUUCCUGUGAUUUAUUAUACUGAUAUUAGAUAUGUACAUCUUUCUUCUCUGUGAUGUACAUGCUUUUUGCUCUGUAAUCAUUGCAGAGUUAUUCGCUCAUUGAUUAGUUAUGAUUUACGAUUUUUUAAUAUAUUUACAACAAAUUUAAUUUUUUAGUUAUUAUUAUUAAUAUUAAUGAUUAACUACUAGCAUUUAUUUCUUUAUUAUACAGGGCCAUAAAAGUUAUGUUCCAAAUAUGAUAAGUGGUGCAUCUCAAGCUGAUAUUGGCGUACUGGUAGGUUUUUUAGAUCAUUCCCCUUUUAUUAUUCAUAAGAUUUUAAAUAUCUUAUUAUAUAGUUGAACUUGACACUGGGUAAAUAUCUUAUUACAAAAUCAUAUAGGUGAUAUCAGCUCGAAAGGGUGAAUUUGAGACUGGGUACGAGAAAGGAGGACAAACUCGUGAACAUGUUCAGCUUGCAAAAACUUUGGGUGUUUCCAAACUCAUUGUUGUUGUCAACAAAAUGGAUGAUUUUACUGUUGGAUGGUCCAAAGAAAGGUCAAUUACAGAUUUUCAAUUGUUUUUUUAAGAUUGUUUAGAUAUAUGUGGAUUUUUCUUCUUCUCAGGUUUGAUGAAAUUGAAUCAAAGAUGGUCCCUUUUUUACGAUCUUCGGGAUAUAAUGUGAAGAAAGGUAUGUUAUAGUCUCAUAAAUUAUUAAAAGCAGCUGAGUGGUGGUGGUCAUUAUCAGCUGAAAUUUUAAGGAUGUUAUAUUUUUUGUUUUCAAUACAAAGACGUACAGUUUCUUCCAAUUUCUGGUUUACUGGGAAAUAACAUUAAAACCAAAAUUGAUAAGAAUCUUUGUGGAUGGUGGAAUGGGCCAUUCCUCUUUAGUGCUAUGGAUACCAUUGAAGUGCCUAUUCGUGAUCCCAACGGACCAGUUAGGUAAUUUCAUUUCUUAUCAAAGCGUCAAUUUCUCUCUCCUAAGAUUACCUUUCAUUUCUUUAAAAUAAUUUGUUACCAUUCCAGAAUGCCUAUUAUUGAUAAAUUCAAAGACAUGGGAACGGUUGUUAUGGGGAAAAUAGAAUCUGGUAGUAUCUGCGAGGGUGACAGUCUAUUAUUAAUGCCCAAUAAGGUAAUUCUUUUGCAUUUUUCAUUUUCAAAAUAAACUGUACAUGUGCUCCAACUCCCAGGAAUAAAAAUCCAUUUGUUUGUUAAUCUGCAGGUUAAUGUAAAAGCGUUGGGUGUGAUGUGUGAUGAAAAUAAAGUAAGAAAAGCUGGGCCUGGUGAAAAUGUCCGUGUUAAACUUUCUGGAGUCGAAGAAGAGGAUAUCUCGGCUGGGUUUGUCUUGUCUUGUAUAGGUAGGUAUUUUCCAUCUUCUCUGUAUGCAAUCAUUUCUUUUUUGAUUACCUACGUAAUCUUCACUCUUUAGCACUGUUGGUGUUUUUCAUGUAAUAUACUUUUCAUGAAUAAUUUGCAAUAUGAUAUAUAAAUAAUUAAAUCUAUAUAACUGAAAAAUACCAUCUUUGUAAAAAUAUGUACCUUAGAAUUUUUCACAUUCUAUAACAUAUUUUUUUGGAUUAUGCAGCGACUCCAAUAACGUCGGUCUCUGAGUUUAAUGCACAAUUGCACAUUCUAGAGCUACUUGACAAUGUGAGAUUUAUCAACUUAUAUUUAUUUUAUGAUGUUUGUGAAAAAAUAUUUGACGUUGAUGUGCAGGCAAUUUUCACUGCUGGUUAUAAGGCGGUUCUGCACAUCCAUGCUGUUGUUGAAGAAUGUGAAAUUGUUGAUUUAAUAGAAGAAAUCGACACGAAGAAAAAGAAAGCCUCUGAUCCAAAGAAAAAGAAAGCAAAGAGAAAGCCACUUUUUGUGAAGAAUGGAGCUGUUGUUGUGUGCCGCAUUCAGGUUAGUUCUGGUUAUCAUAUUAUUACCGAUCCCUUGAAAUGUUAACAAUUAAAUCCCUCAUUAUGUUUUGUUUUUUUCAGGUUAACAAUCAAAUAUCUAUUGAGAAUUUCGUAGACUUUGCACAGCUUGGAAGGUUCACUCUUCGUACAGAAGGUGAACAUGAAAAUGUUUAUUACUAUUUACAAAAUGUAGAUGUAAUUUGUAUGGUUUUGUAAAAGACAGUUACAUUGUCUAACAAUACAAAGUUAUGUUGUUGCAGGUAAAACAAUUGCAGUGGGGAAAGUGGUUGCUCUUCCGCCUUCAGGUCAUUCUACAUUCUCCUCUUCCUGCUCUUCCACAAGUUCGGUGUAAGAUUUUUCUUCAUUUGGAGGAAUGACGAGUAGUAUACUGGAUAUAUUUUCGCAGACCGAAUUUGAGUUUUAUUCAUUUAUUGUUGCCUGGGCAUUUUUUACUCUUGCAAACAUCGAGUGAUGAGUAUGUGAAUUGGCCUAGAACUCAAAAGAUAAUUGAUUAUAAGACAAGUUUAGAGGAGGGAGGGUAUUCAGGACAUGAUCUUACAUACAAAGCGGUUGUGCUGUUGGAUGAUAGUUAUGUUUUACACUUUUCUUGGCAAUGCCAUUUUGUUUUAUCCAUAGAUGUAAUCUUGGGAGAAAAUGAGUUUAGUCUAUAAAUCGAAUUAAUGCACUCUGAAAAGGAAAAUUCACAUCAUUUUCUCUAAUUAUUUUGUAAAGUAACCUUGACUACUUUUUUCUCAGCAUCAUUAUAAUAAUGGUAAUAGGGGCCGGAGAUGGCCAGAUGUAGGGAAUUUGAGAGGAAAAACACACAGAAAAACAUAAGCUUAAUUUUUCAUUUACAAAACUUGGGAAAAUUUCGAAAGAGGUUGCUGGUUUGAUGCUUUUUUUUAGAUCUGUAUGAAGUAAAUUCAAUAUUGAUAAAUAGAGCUAAUUGAUAUGCAUGAUUCAUGUAGGCUUAGAUAAAUCACAACUCAUAAACUCAUUUAUAUUUUAUGCUGUGUAUUUAAAUUAAUUGGGAUUUUUUUUUUAUAGUUUUUGAAAUUAAGCAGCACAAAUUUAAAAUGUCUAACUUUAUAAUAAAUGUUCUAAUGAGUAAAAGAUCUUAAAAUUGUCGGCGAGUAUAACUUUUUUUCGGAUAACUGUUGACACGAAAUGGAAAGAGCUAUACGGCUAUACCUAUACGUUUUGGGGGGAGUCAAGGUGGAGUCCCACCUCGCCUACGCGGACGAUGUGAGCUUUUACUGUCUCUCAGGAUUGGAGGUAAGCUCUGCGAAAAGCUAUGUCGUUUUUCCAGCUAAGGUGGAAGACGGAGCACAAUUGGGCUUCCGGUAUUAAGUCUGUCAGUACGUCAUUUUGGGGUUCCGCUGACUGGAAGAUCUAUAGCGCACAGAGACUGCGAUUUCUUGAUCGCGGACCUUCAAGUCUUCCUUGAGAGAUGGAGUCGGAAACCAUUGUCAUACGCGGGCCGUUAACUGCUGAUUCAAUGGAAAGUUCUGUUAUUUGAUGCAGGCGAGCUCCCUACCUCAACACACCAUUGAAACGAUCAAAUCACUGGUGUAAAAAGUUAUCUAGAGGGCUCAGAAAGAGGUGGUCUGGUCCAAUAUGACUUUCCCACAGGACGAGGGUGGCUUGGGGCUGCAGGUUUUUGGGAUGCUACUGUUAUUUUCUGGAGGAGGUGCUGUCCUGGAGGCGACGUCGGAGCUUCUGGAGCCUUCUAGCGACGAUCGCCGGAGAAUUGCAACUAGGUUUUUCCGGUUACAAGAAAAGGGGGAAAAACUGUCGUUGGAGAGAGAAGAAAGGGGAAGAAUGAUUUGGGGGGAAUAUGAAAAAUGUUAAUCUUUUUUCUUUGAUUAACUUGUGUAAUUCAAUUAAUUAAAACCAGUUUACAACCCAAUCAUUUAUACACUAUUUACAACUAACUAAUAACUAAUUUUCUUUAAAUUAAACUGAUUCAAUUUAAUCGGGUCUCGGGUCGGUCUUGUGAGCCUGGAUCCGG